AAGUAAUAAAUCCUGACUGUUCGCUGACCUAAUCAAAUGCUCUUGAUCUGUCAUGAUGGAAUACAAAUUCAUGAUUUCAGUACUCAUGUGAGCGACCUAACAAGAUUCAUUCAAUGCAAGAGUGAUCUCUCCUUCUGAAGUCAAAACCACAACCUCUUGAUGGUUAACAUAAUCUUCCAAAAAUUGUUAUAUAUUUAUGUAAAAAUCAGUGAUUUCAAUUCACAAAUUUUUGUCAUGAAUGCGAUGCAAUGUAAUAAAAUUUAGGAAUUGCUUAAUAUCAUCCUAAAUUUUUGUGAGUUAUUUAAGUCACUAUCAAUAAUGAGUAAUGACGCUUGACCAACCUUGGGCAUGCAUAUGAUUGACAAAGUAUAUUCUUCUAAAUUAAUGCCGUUGACCUAAUUGACCAAAAUAUCUCUCAUCUCUUAUCCGAGAAACAGCCAUCCGAUUCUUUCAUACCAUGCUCAAUCGUCUGAUUUGAAAAUCUUUGAGUCACGUCAUAUCACUCCAUACCUCUGGUUAAGGAUUUACUUAUUAUUUGACUUGUCUCAGCCUUUCACGUAGUUGUAGCUGCAGCGACAACUCAAUCCUAGUUAGACUUUUUGCUUGUCGGUUCGAAAUUCUUUCCAGAGGGAAUGAUUGAUCACAAUUCCCUUUGUGAAGCCGCGUUGAUGAAGUUUAUGGCAGCGCGAGCGGCGUAUUGCCUUUGUUCGACAACUGCAAGCUCUCGUCUUUGAGCCCGACCCACUUCGUCCAAGUCAUUCACUGCGCUCUACGAUCUGUGAAGCACUUGGCGAAAUCCAUGGUUCGUGAGAUGCAGACGGUGAAUUGGAACCUCGAUGAUCAAAUAGAUCUGAAAAUACAGGAUUUGUCCAUGGCUGGUGGUAACACUGCAAUAUACAGAGCGUCGUCCAUGGCCUCUAAAGUAAAUAAAGACAAGGAAGAAAAUAGUGAGAGAAGACAGAGUAACGAGAGAAAGGGGGUAACCGAGGACAGAGAAAAGAUCUGAAAAGUGGGCCCGGAUUCACCAUGUGUCAAUCUCUGGAUGGUUCAAUGCAAAUCUACUGUGGUGUGUUUAAGGGCAUCUAAUAUGAUGGUUUUGAUGCCAGUACUCUGCAGGCCAUGGAGAUUAUGAAGGCAAGAAGCUCAAAGCUCUCUGCAGAGGGGACAGCUUACCAAAACUACUUCAACGCCUUUUAUUGAAGACAAAAGCAAAUAUCCUCUUGACAAGGGGAUGAAGAAUAUACAAGAUGCAAUCAAUUGAAGUUGUGGUUUCAACGGAAUGUAUAUUUACCAAUUCUCUUACUCCUAUCGCGACCUUUUCAGAGGUGAACUAGAAAAGCUAGAUCACUGAAUAGGAAUGAAUGUUGCUCUCAUGAGACAAUUGCUUGUGUUUAACACUAGCUUUCCCAAAAUCUACUAAUUGCAACUAGAUACUCAAUUCAAUAUGCAUUUAAACUUAGUUCUUAGAGCCGCUACUAAUUGUUUAAUGAAGUUCUAUAUGAACUCUAUGCAAUAGGGGUGUUGCAUGUAACGUGGCUAUGGAUUAAUCAACAUGAUAUAAUUUUUCUAAAGCAUUAACUUUAAAUCACGACUCACUAAAUGAUGUGCAAUGUAUGACAUGCAUGUUAUGAAUUCUGUAUGCAAUCCUUGUGUAGUCCUAAUGAUAUAUAUAUAUAUAUAUAUAUAUAUAUAUAUAUAUAUUUGAUUCUUAUUUAACAAAAGCUAUGAAUUAUUCUAAAUCUAUAUGAGCUCUAAAAUUAACGUGCAUUGUCCUAACCAUGAAAAUUCUAAAAUUAAGAUUGCGUUCUAAACCCUAAACAUGACAUGUUUUAUAUGUGGGAGGGUCAUUAAUUUCAGUGUGGCAUCAAAACAUACAUCUUAAAUCAAAGGUUAUUGCUAGAAUUCGAGGACAUAUUAUCUCAAUGCACACAAGAUUUAUUUAGGUUAACCAUGCCCAUAUAUUAUAGAUCACGGGCCAUGCGAUGAGGCGAUACUAAGGACCCGACCUAUAGGCCCAAAGUUCCGGCGCCCUAAUAUGCCUCGACUAAUGCAAGAUAAACGUAAGAGGUACUUAAAACAACCGAAGGCAUAUUAACUUUUGAAUAACAUGCGUCGAGAACUAUAUAUCAAAAUUGCACCCACCGCAGCUUACCUCGAAUUAGGAUUUGCCAAAGUUAAUCGCCAAGAUUGGAGGCAACGUAAGAGAUUCCAGCGAGGACAAGAGUCGGCCAAGGAGGGGCCGGGAUGCUCGCGACGCUGGGGAUUGGCGUGGAGGAAAUCAACAAGCGGGACAGUAACGAGCAGCAACUAUGGUGGCUCGCCAAGACGGUAUGGGUGUCGAGGAACUGGGUGCUUGUCUAAUGCAGCACUCGUCGAGCUUACCACUGCUUGAGGGGCAACUUAGGUCGUUCUAAAAUACCGGGCGUGGCUGGGAGGCCCGUUGGAGCUGUGGUUAGGGGUCGCCGUGAGAGCUGACAGCGUAGGCACGACUGUAGUCCUGUCUUUUGAUGGAGGCGGCUCGAGGCUCGCCGGGAUUGGCCUGGUGCUGCAAAUGUCGUCGACGAUCGCUCGCUGGGACUGGGCUGCUUCGCUGGGGACCAGAGGCGCCAAGGCUUGCUCAAGAACCCGCUGGACCUCCUGGACGUUCGAUGUGAACUUUCCGUCUUGGUUUUUGUCCUUCAAUAUCCCCCUUCUAUUGCUGCAUCAACUGAGACUAUGUCCUUGCAAGUUGGAAACAAAAAUUCUUUCUUUCCCUUUUCUGGUGUUUGACCGAAGAAUGAUUGCCACCAAUCUUUCUUGAAACUUGAAUUGACCGUAAACUUUUAGUUUCCGAUCUUCUCUAUAUCUCACCAGCCCAUUCACGAUUCUUUCCUCAAUAUUCUCUCCGUUCAAAUAUAUUUUUUUGAACCAUAUUUGUUGCACUAUCGACUGCAAUCAAAUCUUCAGCCCUUAUCGGGACUCAUUACUUGUCCUAUUUUGUCCAUCGCUCGAAUUUAAUGAUCCUCAGUCAAUCAUUAUCUUGUGCCCAUCUCAAUUCCCACACUUAACAUUAUCACCACCGAAUCAUAUGUAAAAUAGUAUGCUCUUUAUGACAAAAUGUAAACAAUGUGAAUGCACAAUAUUAAUUCGAUCCCUAAUUUUUUAUGCAGUGUAUGAUUUAGUGAGUAUAAAUUUAUGUGUCAACAAUCCCUCAAUUAACUUCCACAACACCUAAUAUUCCUAAGAGCAUCUAAAGGAAAUGUUUAUUUCUUUAAUAUCUAGACAAUAUGCAUUUAUUGCAUGCUCGUGCAUUCAUAUCAACCCUCGUCAAAUUACUUGACUUUGAUGCCUUCCUAUGGUUCUUUCGACGUGCAAAGUGCCAAAGUGGAGGCUGAUCCAUUCGAAAUGACAUUAACCAGGAACACAGAAUCAUCAAUAGGUACCUGGCUACUAGAAGAAGCUGAUCUAGUCGGUAUUGGAUAGAAAUAACAGAUCUGAGCUCUGGAGUAAACUUUUGGAAUUAAUAAAACUCACUCCUAAUUAAUACAUUCUCAGACAAGUGAUAAACUAUCGGCAAGAAAUAAACAUGGUAUCCUCUUAGGCUAUUUAGUUGUUAAGAUAAAUUUAGAAUAUGAUAAAAUUUAUCAUAUCCCACGUUUGAUGUAUGCUCAAGACAAACAUCAAUAAUAGGAAAUUUAUUUUCCUUGAAUGGCAAUUUUCUUAAAUUAACAAAAUUAAAAUUAUAUUUUAAUAAUAUAAAUAAUAUUUGAAUCCUAACAUAAGAAAUUCAAAAUAACAAAAUUGUUAACAAAUUUUAAUAUACCUCGACCUCGCUGUUGACCUCGCUGGCCGGUCACCAAGGUCCAGCGAUCGGCUGGAGGAAGAAGAGGAGAAGAAAAAAAGAAAAAAAUUCAAAAAUAUUAAAAUAUUAUUAUAAAUUGUCCAUGUCAGUGCCAAUCAAACCACAUCAACCGGCCGGUGCCUAGUCAAUAAAAUCCGGCCAAAAUUGGCCGGAAAUGACUGAAUUGACACACCGUAAAAAGGUUUAGGACUUGUUUAGCACUUUUCCCCAUAAUUUAGUAUUUUAGGUAUCUUAGUAUAGUUUACUAUUUAAUAAAAUUUUAUUAUAGAAUGAUUGAAGGGGCAAAAAGAAAUAAAAAAGAAAUUUAUUUUAAAAAAGCGGAAAAUAAAACAAAAAAUUAAAUAGAAAUAAAGUAGAUAACGGUGUCACAUGAGAUUUUUAUCAUCUCUAUUUAUAAAAUUUUUGUUCAUUUAUAUUAAUAUGUCAUUUAUAUAAAAUAAUAUAUACAAAAUGAUGUAAAUAAAUCUAACUUUUUUUACUGCAAUCACGAAAUAAUGAAUAUGAUAUAACAAAAUUCAUAGAUUUAAUAUCUUAUUCUAUUUAGCCCUAUUUUGGUUAUAAAUUCAGAUGACCAAACGCAGCCUUAAUUGUUUUCCAUUCUUUAAGAUAUAUAUUAUCCUCCUCUCCAUAAAAAGCAUACAUCUCUGAUUUACUUCCAUAGGUGUUGGAUCCUAAACAUUGAAACCACCCCCCCCCCAAACCCCCUCUUUUUUCUCUCUCCACCAAACCAUACCUCUCUUUCUUGUAAUUAUACGACGAAGGCCUUUGUCUUCAUCCAUCCAAGGCAUUUUGCUUCUUCAUUAUGGAACUCCACAUUCCAACACAAAUCGCGAUCGUUUCCAUUCCCAUCAUCCUUUUUACGUGCAUUUCUUCUUCUUCUUCUUUGUCGUCGUCGUUGUCACCAUCAAACUUGCACCCUUUGGUGGUCGACUCCAUGCUUGAGCAUCUCAACUACACCGCCAUUUCUGAGUUCCGGUUGCUGAAUAGAAGGCGAAUUCUCGAGUGUAGCGAUGGGAACCCUUAUCUCCAAAUUAAUGUCAGUGGCAACGCCACCAUGGGAGAUGAAGAGUACCUUACGGUUAAUGUAACCGGGGUCCUGGUUCCAGCGGACAAUCACUGGAUUGCCAUGAUUUCUCCAUCGGACGCCGAGUAAGUCAUCCUGAUGUCUAAUUCUUUCGUCCUCGAAACUCUUAACCAUUUGCCUUUAGACGUAUUGGUACACGUGACCAGGUUACUCAUUCAAGUUCCUUCUUCUUCUUGUGAUUUCUUUUGGCUUGCAGCGCCUCGUAUUGUCCACUGAACAAGGUUAUGUAUGUACAGACGGGUGAUCUCAGUCAUCUUCCUCUUCUAUGCCAUUAUCCUGUCAAGGUGAUUUUAUCUACCGUUGAAUCGUGCCUUGUUGAUGGCUUAUCUAUCUUCUUCUUGAUGAGUAAUAGAAACGUUAAAUAGUGAGGGGCUUUAGAGAAAAUAGUGGAACCCACAUCGGCCGAACAGAAAGGCACUUGAAAAAGAAAUCACAUGGCGCAUUGCCGAACACCUUUUGCCAAGGCCUGGUUCAAUCCUCAUAUGAUCAACCAACAAAGUGACACCAUGGAGUACGUAGCGUUCACGUAACAAUGUCAUAUAUCAUUUGGUUAGGUGCAUAUCGAGUUACAAAAAAAAAAAAAAAAUUCAAUAUACUUGAUAGACUAUAUGAUUAUGUUGUAUUGGUAGAUGGAAUCUAUUAAAAUGCGAAAUGUAUGUGAAAUUGAUAUUACUUUUCGAAAUAUUCAACAAACAUUUCGUUUUCUACCAACUUAAUUUAAUAAAUACACAUACAUACAUACAUAUAUGCAUACCUACAUAUAUACAUAUACAAUAUUUAUUGAAAUACUUUAGCAAAGCGGGAAAGCAACAGAACACAAACCUUCGUAGACAGUCAGACACAGCCCAUCUUGCUGCUCCUCUAGAGGCGCCGGGGUCAACACAACCUCAAACAUUAAAGAUUGCAGCUGCUUUUAAGGUUUAAAAUACUCCUCGUCAAGUCUUCCUUCUCUCGGAAGACUAGGAGAAAAUAGGAGUCAGUUUUAUUUUUAAUCUAUUUUUAUUUUUGUCAAGUCUCUUUUUGGGUUCAAAAGAGAAUCAAAAGAGUCCUUCAUUCUAUAAUCUGCAAAAGGUUCAAUCAAUAAAGUCAGAUUUGGCUCUGGUUCACAUUUUUUGGCGAGGCUCUUUAUUGAAUUCUUUUAUAAUUGUAUUUUUCAUUCAAUAAAUAAGUAAUUGACUUAUUGAACCAUCCUUUAAAAAUUUACAUAACUUUUUUUUCCUGAAUUUAAGUAUAUAUUUUUUCCGUUGACCAUGAAAUACUGAGCUUUGUUGAAUACAGGAAAAUAACGAAGAUACUUCUCGGAGUUGGAUUUUUAUUAGUCAAAUGGAGACAUUCCAUAUGUAACUCUAAUUUUAGUAAUGCUAGAUAAUAAGAAAGGUUUACAAUUUUCUUUUUUUGUAUUUUUGAAACAUAUAAAAUGCUGUGUGUAACUCUGUUAUUUGGAAGGAAAAAAAAAAACUCUGUUAUUUGGAAUAUUUAAGCAAGUCCUUUUUAUAAAAAUUCUUUAAAAUUUCAUUUAUCACAACCCGUGGUAUUAUACCUGUAUCUUUUCUUUUUGGCAAUGUGCCAAAUUCCGUAAAUUUUCUAGCAUACCUACCAUUACUUGUCUAUUUAGUUUGAGACUAGGAGAACCUUUUCCACUUCAACUUUUUGGUGUACGCUUAUGUGCAUCAUUUUCAGGCACAAUACUUGAGCAGGGAUCCGGACUAUUUGAGCUGCAAGAAGAAGGAGUGCAAGGAAUACAAAGACGGUCAAUGCGUGUUGACCACAUGCGGCAGCAGCUUGACGUUUCACGUUCUGAACAUCAGAACCGACAUCGAGUUUGUGCUGUUCGCCGGAGGAUUCACCAUACCAUGCGUGUUGAAGAGAUCGAACUCUUUGACCUUUGCUAACCCGAACCAACCGCUCUAUGGCCAUCUCUCCAGCAUUGACUCGACUGGGACCUCGGUAAGCACUCAAUUAGCUACCAACUGGUGUGCAGAGCUCGCAUGGGUCGUGUUGCCAACAUUUGGCUUUAUGGAUGUCAUGAAAAAUGUCAAUUAUAUCAUUAGCCAAUGAAGUCAGUGGUACCAUGCCUGCACGACACACUGCGCCUGAGUGUGGAAUAACUCUUUGCAUAAUACACUUGAAAGCAAUGUAGAUUGCAAAUGCUAAUUUUACGUGCUUUAAUCUGCAGAUGAGGAUUACAUGGGUUAGCGGAGGCAAGGAACCCCAAAAGGUACAAUAUGGAGAUGGGAAAUCACAAACUUCCGAAGUUAGUUCAUUCUCACGAGAUGAUAUGUGCAGUGAGUUAACCUCAAACCCUUCCUUGAAAAUUCUGUAAAUGCAUUAGGACUUACUUUGUCGCACGCAAAACAAUUUAAAUGCCCCAUAAAGACUCAUCCUUCACUAAAAAUUAGUUUUGUUGGUCUGUUUUUCGACAGGUAAAGUGGUGCCCAGUCCUGCCAAAGAUUUUGGUUGGCAUGACCCUGGUUACAUUCAUUCAGCCGUGAUGACGGGACUGCAACCUUCUACCUCGUAUUCUUACAAAUACGGAAGGUAGAAUCUUUUGACUGAAGUAUAUUGUUUAUGAGACCAAUCGGUUUCAGAUUGGCUUGAGGUAUUCUUGCUGAGCAUAGUGCAAUAUCUCUGGCAUGUCUACUUGAUGCAGGGUCAUCUAUCUGCAGUGAAUGUGAAUGAAUUGAUAUGCACUUGUUCCUUACAAUCAUUUUCUAUGAAUUCACAACAUUAGGUAGAUGAUGGAGCACCGGCAAAUACUUCCAUAUGCCUUAGUCCUUAAAGAUGUAUUGUAGCUGCAUGUCUGAUUGAGAGAGGAUUGGGUAUACGGCUUUCAAUUAAAAGGAGAAUCUCGUUAACAUGACAUUGGACUUAUAUAUUGCAUGACACUGCAGUUGUGGCAACUGGAAGUAGAUGGAAUAAUCCAUCUUUUUUGGGCAUCACUUAGAUGAUUGGAAAUCGAAUUGAUCAAUAAAUUUAUACCAUUUUCUGGCACAUUCGAGUUGUUUUGAUAAUGCUUUUACGAUAUCCAGUGAUUCAGUUGGUUGGAGCAACAAAGUUCAGUUCAGGACACCGCCUGCAGGAGGAUCAAAUGAACUCAAAUUUCUUGCAUAUGGGGAUAUGGGAAAAGCCCCUCUGGAUGAUACAGUCGAGCACUACAUUCAGGUAAACAUGCUUUCCAUAGAAUGAAAAGUCGCAUUUCUAAAGGCAACAUUGAAAUGAUGCUAUCCAAGCUGGGUAUACUCUAAGAGGAAGGUGUAUCCUUCAAAUUUUUGAGAAAUGCUAAUGGAAGGGACAAAACAUGGCACGAUUUGAGUGGAGCAUCAUCUUGAAAACCUGCUCUUCAAGAAAUAUUAUUAGCACGUCACAUUCAUCUGAAUUAACUGAAGUGGCACAGACUAAGCUGCUUGUGAGAAUUCAAACUCCUGAUGAUGAAGGUCUCCUAACAUGCGACUUUGUAUGUUUCUAUAGCCAGGAUCAGUCUCGGUGGCUAAGGCAGUGUUGGAUGAUGUAGACUCCGGCAAUGUCGAUGCCAUCUUCCAUAUUGGAGACAUAAGCUACGCCACCGGCUUCUUAGUGGAGUGGGAUUUCUUCCUCCACCACAUCAGCCCUUUCGCUUCCCGAGUUUCCUAUAUGACUGCAAUUGGGAACCACGAAAGGUAACUAUCUCGGGUCAAUAUGAGUCUCUUCCUGUGCAUAAUAGAAGGCUCAGUGAACAACUAAGCGAACAUUACUCAGCAGCAUGAAUUGAAGGUUUUCUAAUUUUCUUUUACAUGAAGAGGUUAUGUGGACUCGGGUGCCAGAUAUAUAACUCCAGACUCCGGUGGGGAAUGUGGCAUUCCUUACGAGACAUACUUCCCAAUGCCAACCCCAGCGAAGGACAAGCCAUGGUAUUCCAUUGAACAAGCCAGUGUUCACUUUACUGUGAUUUCAACUGAACAUGACUGGUCCGAGAAUUCAGAGCAGGUACGUUCGAUCGAGCUGAACCCUUUUGGGAUCAUAUCUGCAUCUCGAUAAGCUGUCCAUUUAUGUCAUGGGAAUGUCAUGUUGUCAGUAUCAAUGGAUGAAAGGGGACAUGGCUUCAGUCGACCGAUCUAAAACUCCAUGGUUAGUUUUCAUGGGGUAAGUACAUUUGCUUCUAAGUGAUCGUGAGUAUUACUACUUGAAUGUGCAGACUCUCAGACUAAAAACUCUGAAGACAACAGAUAUCAAGUGUAACAGUUGCUUCUUGCAGGCACAGGCCCAUGUACACUUCUGGUCACGGAUUAGGUGCUGAUCCAAUUUUUCUUGAUGCUGUAGAGCCAUUGCUGUUGGACAACAAGGCAACCUUCCAUUUCUUAAUUUGGUUUUCAUGUUAAACAAUUCUUUGACCUGUGAAAGUGCAAUCAUCAACCAUUUGAUAUCACAGGCUGAUCUAGUUCUCUUCGGCCACAUGCAUAACUAUGAAAGAACGUGCUCGGUUUUCCAAAAUGAGUGUAAAGCUAUGCCAAAGAAAGAUCAGAGCGGGGUUGAUAUUUAUGAUCACAGCAAUUAUAGCGCACCCGUGCAAGUGGUUAUUGGUAUGGCCGGGUUCAGGCUGGGUGAAUUCACAGAUAAGGUUAGAGUCUGUCCUCCCUCACACCAGUUGUAGAUAGGAAAAAAAAAUUGGCCUUUUGUCUAUAUCUGGACAAUUUUUUGGCAUCUUCCGGAAAUCUGCUCUUUUAUUCGUCAGUGCUUAAUCGCGUUUCCAUUUCUUGCAUCUACAUUGGUUGAAUGCUGCUUAGCUAAACAAUGCCAUCUUGACAACAGCUUUCUGAUUUGGGGGCCAUGAAAUAUCAAAAUUCCAGAGAUUCUUGCACUUGCUCUUAAGAAAUAACUUUCUUUGCUGGUUCUGCUGCUCAUAUCAUUCAGCUCGAAUCUAUACGAUUACACAGGGAUUAUCCCUUUUGUUGCUCGCAUGAAUAAGACCUGUACAAGUGAAGCCCCAUUGAUUUUUCUUUUGCAGCCGAGUGACUGGAGUUUGAUAAGGAUUUCUAAAUUCGGCUAUUUCAGAGGACAUGCGACUCCAAAAGAGUUACAACUAGAGGUCAGCAGUAACCCGCUUUUGAAUGUUGCAUCCUGCAUAGCAAUCUUGAAUUCUCGGUCGCCCUUCCCUUGGUCAUCGUUCCUUUUCGCUUUGUCCCUGCUGAUUCUAUCUUUUAUGACGGAUAACUCCAUUGAUUGAUAACCUGUUUUGGUCUGUUGUGGUGCUGUGAAAAUCAGAAACCACGUACAGUUUUCGAUUUCCUGCACUGCAGGUAGAGUUUGGAACAUUGAGCGGCUACAUGUUAGUGCAUUCAUGGUGAUCAUGUGUACGUGCUCGUUUAACUUCGAUCUACGUGUUGCCUGCAGUAUGUGAAUGCCGACACAAGGAAGGUGGAAGACAUCUUCCGCAUCACCCGAUAACCCGACUUUUCAAGUGAGCAGGAAGGUGCUGCAGAGGCGACAAUGGUGGUACACUUCUACAUUGUACUAUACAGAGACAAAACAUACAGAUAAAUUGUGCUUGUACACAAGUAAUAAAUCUUGAUUGUCUGCGCGGCCUAAUCGAGUGCUCUUGAGCUGUGAUGAAGGAAUCCAAAUUCAUGAUUUCGGUACUCAUGCGAGCAACCUAACGACAUGUGUCCAAUGGAGAAGUGAUCUCUCCUUCCGAGUGAGUUCAGAAUCAUGACCUCUUAAUAGUUACUAUAAUCUUUUGAAAAGAUUGUUAAAUAAUUGAGCAAAAAUAAGUGAUAUAGACUCAUGAAUUUUCAGAAUUUUCCGUCAUGUAUGUAAUGCAAUGUAAUACAAUUCGGAAAUUGGUUAGUAAUCUUAAAAACUUUUGAACUAUUCAAGUCAUUAUCACAUAGAGUAAUGGCACUCGACUGACCUUGUUCACGAAUAUGAUGAUCAGCAAAGCCUAAUCUUCUAAAUUAAUGUCGUUGACCUAAUUGACAAAAAAUGUCUACUCCCCUCUCAUCCGAAAUGCAACCAUCCGAUCCAUACCAACCAUGCUCAACCGUCGAUUUGAAAAUCAUAUAUCAGGAUUAUCUCUAGGAGGCCGUAGUGAAGUCUAUUUUGAUACGCAUUACUGUCAAUAUCGAACUCGAUCAGACCAAGCCUUUGCUAGUCAGGACCUCUUUCCGUUUCAUGAUUUUGGUACUCAUUUGAGCAACCUAACGACAUGUGUCCAAUGGAGAAGUGAUCUCUCAUUUUGAGUGAGUUCAGAAUCACGAACUCUUAAUAGUUAGCAUAAUCUUUUGAAAAGAUUGUUAAGUAAUUAUGCAAAAGUAUGUGAUAUAGACUCAUGAAUUUUGAGAAUUUUCCAUCAUGAAUGUGAUGCAAUGUAAUAGAAUUCGGAAAUUGCUUAGUAAUCUUAAAAACUUUUGAUUUAUUCAAGUCGCUAUCACAUGAAGAGUAAUGGCAGUCGACUGACCUUGGUCACGAAUAUGAUGAUCAGCAAAGCCUAAUCUUCUAAAUUAAUGUCAUUGACCUAAUUGACCGAAAAUGUCUGCCUCUCUCUCAUCCGAAAUGCAGCCGUCCGAUCCAUACCUACCACGCUCAACCGUCGAUUUGAAAAUCCUGUAUCAGGACAUGACUAGAUUUGGAAUGAAAGGUUAUCAUCGUUAGAAGGAGACCGUCGUGAAGUUAGUUUUGACUGAUGCGCAUUAAUGUAGAUAUCGAGCUAGAUUGAACGAAGCCUUUGCUAGUCAGGACCUCUUUUCGUUUUUUCGCAAAUUAUGAUAUGUGAGUGGUAGCAGGAUAAUUUCUUGGGGUCGUAUCGCCAUUAUAACUUUUUGUCCAAAUCUGCACGAUUCUUUGGCAAUAUCUGAAAAUCCAUCCUUGUAUUCAUCAGUUCUUAAUCCCAAUUCCAUUUCCCUCAUUUACAUUUGCUGGAUGUUGCUUAGCCAAACAAUGCCAUCUUAGCAACACCUUUAUGAAUUAUGGGCCUUGAAAUAUCCAGAUUCCAGAGAUUUUUAGCUUGCUAUUAAGAAAUUAAAUGCCGAUUCUGCUGCUCAUAUCAUUCAGCUCGAAUCUAUACGGUUACAUGAGGAUUAUCAAUUUUGCUGCUCCCAUGAAUAAGAUUUGUACAUGUGAAGCCCCGUUGAUUUUUUCGUAGCCAAGUGACUGGAAUUUGAUAAGGAUUUCCAAAUUCGGCUAUUUCAGAGGGCGUGCAACUCCAAAAGAGUUACAACUAGAGGUCAGCACUCUCUAAUUUUUCCUCGCCCUUCCCAGAAUCAUGUUCCUUUUGGCUUUAUGUCUGCUUACUCGAUUUCAUAUUCCAUUUAUUAAGAAAUUGUUCUGGUCUCUUGUGAUGCUUUGAAAUUAGAAACUAUGUAGAGUUUCUGAUGUCCUGCGUUGCAAGUAGAGUUUGGUACACGUGAACGAGUUACUCAUUCAAGUUCCUUUUUUUCCUUGUGUUUUAUUUAGGGUUGCAGCGUCUCGUAUUGUCCACUGAAUAAGGUCACGUAUGUAAACUGGUGAUCUCAGUGAUCUUCCUCUUCUAUGUCAUUAUCCUAUCAAGGUAAUUUUCUCUAUCAGUGAAUCGUGCCUUGUUGAUGAUUAUCUACCUUCUUCUUGAUGAGUCAUGGAUAUGUAAAAUAGGGAGGGGCUCUAGAGAAAAAAGUGGAAUCAACGAGGGCUGAAUAGAAAAGCAAUUGAAAAGGAAAUCACAUGGCGCAUUGCCUAACUCCUUUUGCCGAGAGUUGGUUCAGUCCUCAUGAUCGACCCACAAAAGUCAUGGCAUAGAGUCCCUAGCGUUCACGAAACAAUGUCGAAUUUCAUUUGGUUUGAGAUGAUUGUGUUGUUGUGAUAGAGGAAUUAGAUUAAAAUGCUAAAAAUAUGUGAAAUUCAUGUUACUUCUCGAAAUAUUCUAUAGAUGUUCAAUAUAUAUAUAGCUACAAUCAUAUGUCCAAUGCUGUUAAAUAUGUCUCAAGUUUGAGCCCGAAGCGUAAAGCCGAAUUUUGAAAUAAAUUGAAAUAAAGAAAGAUUAGUAUAUUUGGAAGUAAAUCAGCUUACUUCAUCGUCUCUGGUUUCUCCCAAAAUAAAGGCAAGUGCUGAUUCAUAUGGUAAAGAUAAUCUUCAAUCUGCAUCUUUCUAGAAACUAAAAUCUUCAAUCUGAUACCAGCGCCCGUCACCGAAGAACGUAUUAUUCGGUGGGGCCAAGGUCAAAUCUUUGACCGUCUGGGCACACACACGCACACUCCACGCGCAAUGAAGAAAUCCCUGCACGUAGACAAAAUAGGUGGGCCCAAGUCAAGAAUUUGACUUUUCUUGGCACACACCUAUUUCCUUUUUCGGCGUGCACGAAGACCUUCGUAAAGGGGAGCCGCACGUUACCGCUUGCAAAAGCCGCAAAAGAGAUCUUCUUUUCGGGGUGUUGCUGCUGCACCCGUAUGAGAGAAAAGGAGGAGCCACAUGUCUUCAAGCUGAAACACGAUCAAGAAAAGGAGUUCUUUUUCAGCGUUUAUUUUAAGCUUGUGUGAUAAUUUUGUGCUGUGAUUUGGGUUUGGAUUAAAUUGGGGUUUGGGAAACACCGAGAGAAUGUUUGAGUGACUUGAGUGUGUAAUCUCCUUGUAUCGCUUGAUCUAUAGUGAAAUUCGCUGCUGCUCUCCCCGUGAAUGUAGGUCUCUACGACUGAACCACGUAAAUCUGGUGUCCGAUUUAUUUUUCUUUUUCCGUCUAUAUUUUGUUCGAUUGUUCGCCCAAUCGUAACAAAUGCAACCUCAAGUAUUAACUAUAGCUGCUUUUAAGGUUUGAAAUAUUCCUCGUUAAGUCUAUAUAUUAAUAAACUCAACUUGGCUAUAUAUAUAGCUAUAGUCAUAUGCCCAACGCAACCUCAAGCAUUAAUGACUAUAGUUACUUUUAAAGUUUGAAAUAUUCCUCGUCAAGUCUAUAAAUUAAUAAAAUCAACUCAGCUACAUAUAUAUAGUCACAUGACCAACGCUACCUCAAGCAUUAAUGAUUGUAGCUGCUUUUUAAAGUUUGAAAUAUUCCUCGUCAAGUCUAUAUAUUAAUAAAAUCAACUUAGCUACAGUCAUAUGCCUAACGUAACCUCAAGCAUUAAUAUUGUAGCUGCUUUUAAGGUUUGAAAUAUUGAUUGUCAAGUCUUCAUCCACUCGAAAGAAGAGGAGAAAAUAGGAGUCCGUUUUAUUUUUAAUUUAUUUUUAUCUAGUCAAAGUGCCUCUUUUUGGGUUCAAAAGAUAAUCAAAGGAGUCUUUUGUUCUAUAUCUGCUAAAGGUUCAAUCAAUAAAGUCAGAUUUGGUUCUGGUUCAGAUAUUUUGCGAGGCUGUUUAUCGAAUUCUUUUAUCAAUUUUUAUUUUCAUUUAAUAAAUAAGUAAUUGACUUAUAGAAUUGUAAUUUAAUAGAAUUUAAGUAUGUACUUUUUCCGUUGACCCUGAAAAUAUUAAACUCAGUAGAAUACAGGAAAAUAAUGGAGUUACUUUUCGGAGAUGGAUAUUAUUAGUCAAAUAGAGACAUUCCAUAUGUAACUCCAUGAGUAAUGCUAGAUAAUAAGAAAGGUUUACAUUUUCUUUUUAAAUAUUUUUGGUACGUAUAAAAUGCCGCAUGUAGUCCCGUUAUUUCGAAUAUUUAAGCAAGCCCUUUUUGUCGAAAAGCUUUGGAAUUUCAUUUAUCGUGGCCGUCGGUUCAUACUACGUGUUUUCUUUUCUUUUUUUCUUUUUUUUUGGCAAUGUCCCAAAUUCUGUAAAUUUUAUAGUAUCCAUGUCUAAUUAAUUUGAGACUAGGAGAAAUGUUUCCACUUCAACUUUUUGGUGUAUGCUUAUGUGCAUCAUUUUCAGGAAAAAUACGUGAACAAGGAUCCGGACUAUCUGAGCUGCAAGAAGGAGCGCAAGGAAUACAAGGACGGUCAAUGUGCGGUGACCACAUGGCGGCGGCACUUUGACGUUUCACGUUGUAAACAUCAGAACCGACAUUGAGUUUGUGCUGUUCGCGGGGGAGUUCGCCACACCAUCCAUAUCGAAGAGAUCGAACUCUUUGACAAUUGCUGACCCGAACCAACCGCUCUAUGGCCAUCUCUCCAGCAUUGACUCGACCGGGACCUCAGUAAGCCCUCAAUUGACUACCAACUGGUGUGUCGAGCUCGCGUGGGUCGUGUCGCCAACAUUUGGCUCUAUGGAUGUCAUGAAAAAUGUCAAUUAUAUCAUUAGCCAAUGAAGUCAGUGGUACCAUGCCUGCAUGACCCGCUGCGCCUGAGCGUGGGAUAACUGUUUGCAUAAAACACCCGAAAUCAAUGCAGACUGCAAAUGGUAAUCAUACACGCUUUAUUCUGCAUAUGAAAAUUACAUGGGCUAGCGGAGGCAAGGAACCCUAGGAGGGGCAAUAUGGAGAUGUAAUGGACUUGUUCCUUACUGUUGGGAUUGUCGGAUUCCCAAAAACUAUAUUCGACACUAAAUGGAACCCCUAAAACGAAUGCGGAAGACGAGCCUGGGAAAAACACGUAUCACUGAUCUUAAAGCACACCACGGAAUCGAGCGUACCUUGUUAGCCACAGAUUAAACACCAACGCCGAUAAGAGGAAGAGAAAACCGAUCCUGUUCGAUCCGAUGAUGUCGAUUGGCCUUGAAGGGAAGACGGCAUUGCCUUAAACGCUUGUUUUCUUUUGGAGGGAGAGAGGGAGAGAAAACGUACGUUAUUAUGCCAAAGGGUGUCUUCGUCUCUCUCUUUCCUCCCUUAUAUGCGUUCCCUCAAAAAAAUAGAAACGUACCCCUUCAUCGUAUCCUUCCAUCCAUGGGCCCUAAUCUUAUGGGCGGGCCGAGCCUUCAGGCCCAACAUGGGCGGAUGGGCCAACUUAAGCCCAUCACAUAAAACCAUCAUCUUCCAUUCGCACAUGGUAGGCCGAACAUGAUUCUCUUUACCUCUCUACAACAUUCAUACCGGUGAAUAAUCCAUGCGAUCAGUAUACUUUGAGAGUUCGCUGCUAUACAUCUCUUAAGAAUAUAUAGCAGCUCAUAAUGGGCAUCACACUCUGAGUAGAUUUAGUAUGCAGUACCCUAGAUCGAACGAUCACAUUUAUAUCUCUCUUGAUCUCUUUUAAACAAUGAUAUAUAUAUAUAUAUAUAUAUAUAUAUAUAUAUAUAUCGUAUUCACAAUUAUGAUUAUCACAAAGACAGUUAUAAUUGGUCGACUAGUGAAUAUAAAACUACAAUGUGAUUCUCCAAAAUCGAUCUUCCUCUUUCCUUCAAACUCUCAAUUUUAGUUCAGCUUGCUUUUCUAGAAAUGUCCAAUUAGAUCGAAUCAACUCAUGACCAUUGGCAACAUCUUAAGAUAGCAAACACUAAAUAGAAAUCUUGAGAAUAAGUAAAAGUCAUGAGGGCACUAAAAUUGAGGAACUCUUUUCCUCAAAAGUCUUACACGGCAUAAAAGUUGAGAUCAAACUUUUGCCACUCUUAUUGGUCGUCUCAUGCAUACGUAGUAUGAAAAACGUAUUACAGUAUUAACUUCUUUCCCAUAGAGCGUAUGCCUACACCUUCAAUACCAUACAGAUGACAGUUCAGACAUACCCAAUGUCUAACUUGAGUUCAUGUAUCUACUUAUUCACAAAAUUCAUCAGAACUCACAUCUGGCAUCUUAGAUAGAUAAAUUAAAAUAUGUGGGGUAUUUUACUUUCGGACACAGUAAAUAUUAUGUUCUCAUCUUAAUACUUAGUUAAGGCGACAAAUAUAUUUUAAGCUUGAGCUCUCGAUUAUCACCUAGAUAAUAAGCUUAAAAAAACAGUCUCAUCUCUAUUUAUCACACAGUAAAUAGAGGCGAUUACCCGUGUGAGUGGGCUAAUCUUUUAUCUGUCCGACAUACUUUCUCAACCUAAAAUAAUGGACUGAGCAUUAAGAUGCAUAAAGAUCAAACAAAGAUUCAUAGGCAUUAAUGAUGAAAACACAAAUUCAUCAAAUGUGAACACUUAGGAAAAUUACAAUAUUCAGUACAUCAGCCUCUAUGUAAUCCUAGAGAUUUCAUAUGGCCACAAAACACAUCUCUAGGUAUUGGCUUCGUCAUAGGAUUUGCUACCAUUCUUAAGUUCACAUCUUUUCAUGCAAUCAUAUAUUUGACAAGAUUAUACUUAGUAUCUAUAUGUUUGGUCUUGCCAUGAUAUUUUGAAUCUUUGGUGUACACUUUUGCUGCUUGGCUAUCACAGUUAACCAACAAUGAAUCUGCAGCACUUCCAAUAACACCUAAAUAAUAAAAAAAUCUCUUAAGCCAAACACCUUCUUAUACUGAUGCUGAUAAUGCCACGAACACAACUUACAUCAUGGACAAGGCUAUACACUUUUUGUUUCUUACUGCUCCAACAUAUGGUGCCAUUAUUCGAUAAAAAAACAAACCCAGAGGUAGAUUUUUUUUUUCAUCUAAAUCUCCUCACCAAUUAGCAUUAGAAUAGCCUUAGAGUCGCAGAUCAUUUCCUUAAUAACUCAGCGUAUAAUCAGCAGUCCCCUUUAGAUACCUUAGUAUUCUCUUAACGGCUUUCCAUUAUGCUGGACCUGGAUUGGAUUGGUAUCUACUCACCAUUCCAACUGCAAAACAUAUGCCAGGUCUUGUACACAUCAUAUCAUACAUCAAGCUCCCAACAGCACUAGCAUAAGGAACAUAUUUCAUUUGUUCCUUCUCUUGUGGAGCCCUUCGAUACAGUCUAUGGCUCAAUCCUUCACCUUUUGCAAUAGAAGUGUUUAUGGGUUUACAAUCUUGCAUACGAAAUCGUUCAAGAACCUCAUUUAUAUAUGUUUCUUGCGAAAGAGACAACGAUCUCUUCGAACGAUAUCUUGAAAUCUUAACUCCAAGAAUGUAUGCAGCCUCACCCAUAUCCUUCAUCUCAAAGUUGGAAGACAACCAACUCUUGACAGUAUUAACAAACUCCAUAAUGCUUCCGGCAAUUAGCAUAUCAUCAACAUAUAAUGAUAUGAUCACAAAUUGAUCUUUGGAUCUUUUGAUAUAUACACAAUGAUCCUCAUCAAUCAUUGUAAAAUCAUAUGCCAUUAUGGCAUUAUGAAAAUGAAUAUACCAUUGUCUCGAUGACUGCUUGAGGCCAUAUAUCGAUCUCAAAAGUCGACAUACAUUUUCUUCUUGACAUUUCAUUAUGAAACCAGCAGGUUGUUUCAUGUAUAUUUCUUCAUCUAAUUCUCCAUUGAGGAAAGCAGUCUUUACAUCCAUUUGAUGUAACUCAAGAUCCAUACUAACCACUAUUGCCAAAAUAAUGCGAAUCGAGGUAAAUCUCACUACAGGAGAAAAUGUAUCUUCAUAAUCAAUUCAUUCUUGUUGAUUAUACCCCUUCGCCACAAUGUGAGCCUUAUGCCUCUCUAUCGAGCCAUCAACCUUUUGCUUUAUUUUGAGAACCCACUUGUUCCCAAUAGCUUUGCAUCAUUCUCAAAGAUCAACCGGUUCCCAGACUUGGUUUGAUUUCAUUGACUCCAUUUCCUCUUCCAUUGCAUGAAUCCAUUUUUCCUUAUUAGGGCAAUUCAGAGUCUCAUGAAUAUUUCUUGGCUCAUCCUCAUCUUGCGGAGCAAUCAUAAAAGUUUCCCUUUCAAUGUCAAAACGUCGACGGGGAAUACUUUGGCGACUUGUUCGCCGUAUGGGAGAUUUGUACACUUUGCACAUCAUUCCCUAUUAUGCUCCCACUUGGAUGAGAUAAUGAUGAUGUCGUCUCAUCAUGUAGUUGCAAUUGAGAAUGAGUCGAAUUCAAUUUAUCAUUUCUCAUAUUACUCCCACUUGGACGAACUCCACUAAUAUCAUUAUCUUGAUCCAAGGUUUCAAAUAGGGAGUAAUCUUCCCAUAUUUCGCCAUUCUUAUGAAAUUCAUCAUCUAAGAAUGUGACAUCUCGUGAUUCAAAUUCAGUUAUACUCCAACUUUCCUGCUCACCAAUGAACAUAUACCAUUUCAAGUGUUCGGAGUAUCUCAUGAAAAUACUCUUAUUUCCUUUGGGACUCAAUUUCCUAAACUUGUGAGAGGACUCAUGAAUAUAGGCAGCACAACCCCAUGGCUUAAGAAAACUUAAGUCCGGUUUUCUACUUGUCCAUAACUCAUAUGAAGUGGAAAUAACUGAUUUGGAAGGCACCCGGUUAAGUAUAUAGGCAGCAGUUAACAACGCAUCACUCCAAAAAGUGAUAGGUAAGUUAGCAUGCGCCAUCAUGGAUCUAACCAUUUCCAGUAGGGUUCUAUUUCUUCUCUCCACAACAGCAUUUUGUUGAGAAGUGUAUGGAAUAGACAACUGUUUUCUUAUUCCUUUUUCAUCACAUAAUUUUAUGAACUCAUCAGAUAAAUAUUCUCGACCUCGAUCGGAUCUCAAUACUUUUAUUUUCUUGUCUAAUUGAUUUUCUACCAAGUUCAUAAACCUUUUGAAAUAACUUAUUGCUUCAGAUUUAUGAGAAAUCAAAUAGACAUAUCCGAAUCGAGUAUAAUCAUCUAUAAAAGUGAUGAAAUAAACAGCCACAUGCCUUCAUCUUACAUUCAUUGGACCACAGACGUCAGAAUGGAUUAAAUGCAGAGGAAAUUCAGCUCUUUUAGUUUUUCCAAAUGGUUUCCUUGUCGUUUUCCCUUCUAGGCAAUGUUUACAUAUGGGCAAAUUGACUUUUUCAAUGUUGCCCAACAAGCCUUCUUUGGCUAGUCUAUUCAUACGUUGUUGGCCAAUAUGAUUAGGUCUAGCAUGCCACAUAAUCACAUCAUUAUCAUAUGAAGUAGAAGACGUGAAAUAAGAGAAUAACAAUUAUUGACAUCACCACAGUCAACAUUUAGUACAAUAAAACCAUCCAGAAGGUGACCACAACCAUAGUAGUUUGUAUCCAAAUACAAAUCUACACCUUUAUUAUGGAAGUUCAUACCAAAAUCAAGCUUAACCAACACCGAAACAAACACUUAAAUUUUGACGAAUCUCCGGAGCAUAUAGAACAUUAUAUAGGAACAAUGUGCGUCCACCACACAUGUUCAAUUGGCAGGUGUCAAUCUCUUUAACUUCAGCUCUAGAGUUAUUACCCACAUAGAUCCACUUAGUUCCAGUUGGUACUCGUCGGAAUUCCACGAAUGAUUCUCUAUCCUUUGCUACAUGGUCUGUCACUCCUGAAUCUAUAGUCCACAAAGGAUUGGAUUCAGUCAAUAAUAUAGAACUUGACACAUAAGCAAAGUUCUCAAAUGUACAAAAGGUGUAUACCUUCUUUGGCUCACGAGUGACAUUUCUUGUCACAAUUGUAACACCUCACCCUUGACAUUUUCUUCACUUAAAGACAUUUUCCGCUCUUGUAUUGGUUAACUCUUGAUUUCUUGCAAUAAGGACUUAAUCCUUUAUAUUCCCAUAUAUUGAACGAAUCAAUACGCUUGCGCUUAGAGCACAAAGCCCUUUAUGAGCUAGAACCAGUAUUGCAAAUAUCUAUUUUCGGCUCAAAUGCCGUUACGCGGUCCUCGGCUAGCUCAAGGUGGCACACGGCAUCCUCAAGAUCUUUCAUAACAUGGUCAAGAGCUUCUAGUGCUUCUUUCUUUUCCAGCACAUAUUGAAUCUUCAUAUUCAAUAUUUCACAAUUGUUGCCGUUCAUAUCAGCAAUUACAUUCUUAAUUGCUGAAACCAUCAAUCUGAACGCAUCAAACAUACAUGCACGAAUAAUUAAUGCCUAUCAUUUAUGCAUCCACUUUGCACAAACCCAUUAUAUCAAUGAACAAUUUUAAGUAAGGUUUUAGAAUCAAAAGGUCACUAUGUUUCCAAUCAUCCUUCAAAAAUCCUAACUCAAAAUUAUUAUUAAUAUAAUUGUCUUAUGCAAAAUAAAUUCUAUGAAUUUACAAAAACUUUUAUGAACUACCCACAAUAGUCAACAAUAACAGAAAACAAAUAAUAUUUGACAUCCAAUAGAAUUAUAAUGCUUUCACAUAAAACAACUAUCCAUUACACUAAGCAAUACAUACAGAGGAAACAUAUCAACAUAGAAAGAGAUAUUCAUACACAAAAAACAUCUCAAACUAAUCUAAGAAAUAAAUAGGGAAUGUCCCUUCUAAUCUAUCAGUCAAAAUAUCUGAGAAAUUUGAAGGCACAUUUGCCAACCAUGGAAAAACUUUUGGAGAGCUUUCAUGUCGCCUCCAAGGCGCAUUCACUCUGCGCCAUGUGGCGCUCAAUCUAAGGGUUGAAGUUUUGGUUAAUUCAAUCCUAUAGUAUCUCUUACAAAAGCUUCCACUAGCCUUCUAUAACCCGGGACCACGUUGACCUCCCAUAGCCGAUCUAACACUGCUUGCCAUUCAGGUGGAAGAGUGUUCAUCAAAGUCGGCACAUUUUCAAAAUCCGGCAUAAGAUAACCAUUCCAGAUUAUUUCCUAUAUCAUCUGAUUAACCCUAAUCACAUGUGAUACUAAAUCACCGUCAUAUCACCGAUAAUUAGCUAAAUUUGACAUUAAUCUUUUAAGUAUUGCACUUUCCUCGUCCGUUCUCGGGAUUGUAGGUAUCCGUGCAUAACGCAACAUAGUUCCUGCAACAAAUGCAGAACUAAAAAUGGAUUACUUAUAAUCCAUAAUGCACAUAAGGGAAAAUACAUAAUUUUCCAUGAUUCAUACAACAAAUGCAUAAUAAAUAAUGGAUUACUUAUAACCCACAUAGGUAUAAUUGAAAAAAGAAACAAAUUCCUUUUUUUUUUUUGUCAACGGUCAAUAGUCAAUGAUCGUUGGUCAACGGUCAACAGUCGUCGGACCGGUUGGGCUAAUCGGGCCGGGUCGAACCAGUCGGGCCGGUCGGGCCGGUUGGGCCGGGUCGGACGAACCGACCCGGCAUGUGCCUCGCACGUGCGAGCGACCGGUCGGAGCUCGGAUCGGGUCGUGUCUCAGGUCGAGUCGCCGACCGGUGACCGGUCGGCCAACGGUCACCGACGAUGACGUCAUCGGUGACGUCAUCCCAGCGGUUACCGAUCGUUGGGUGACGUCACAGUGACGUCAGCAUGCGCCGGUUCGCCGGUCGCCGGCGCGCAUGUGCCGGUUCCCCACCGGCGCGUAGCGCCCACGCGCAGCACCUUCUAGCUGCGCGUGUGGGCGCAUCUAUCAUCGCCCGGCGGCGCAUGACAGAUUAUCGGACUCAUCUCGACAAGAUCUUUCACCCUAUGCCUUCAAAAAUUGAUUUUGACUUACAAAAACUCAAAAAAACGGAUGAACAGUGCUCAGGUGUCGGGAUUUCUCGCCCCGAUCCGUGUCGGCCGAAUAUUUUCGCGAAAAAUCAAUCAAAAAACAUGAAAGGGGUCGGGAAAACAUGAACUAGGGCUUUGAUACCAAUGUUGGGAUUGUCGGAUUCCCAAAAACUGGAUUCGACACUAAAUCGAACCCCUAAAACGAAUGCGGAAGAUGAGCCCGGGAAAAACACGUAUCACCGAUCCUAAAGCACACCACGGAAUCGAGCGUACCUUAUUAGCCAUAGAUUAAACACCAAUGCCGAUAAGAGGAAGAGAAAAUUGAUCAUGUUCGAUUCGAUGACGUCGAUUGGCCUUGAAGGAAAAACGGCGUCGCCUUAAGCGCUUGUUUUCUUUUGGAGGGAGAGAGGGAGAGAAAACGUACGUUAUUAUGCCAAAGGGUGUCUUCGUCUCUCUCUUUCCUCCCUUAUAUACGUUCCCUCAAAAAAAUAGAAACGUACCCCUUCAUCGUAUCCUUCCAUGCAUGGGCCCUAAUCUUGUGGGACGGGUUUUCAGGCCCAACAUGGGCGGAUGGGCCAACUUAGGCCCAUCACAUAAAACCAUUACUUACGAUAAUUGUCCAUGAAUUCACAACAUUAGGUAGAUGACAAAGCACUGACAAAUACUUCUAUAUGCCUUAGUUCUUAAAGUAGCGAGUCGGGGAAGAAAUUUUUAUUCCCAUCAAGUGAAGACAAUUAUUGUCUUAAUUGAUCUUCCUAUAGUUCUUCCUGACUUCACCAUCUGAUCCGGUGAGGGGCAGGAUGUCCCCCAUCUUGAUCAUGGCCGCUGCGAAGUCGGAGCUGAAGGUGCUCGGGCUACUGGCAUAUGUCCUCACCAGUGAGUCCGUGGAGCCGCCAUUGAAGAGCUGCUGGUUGGAGUGAAGCAGUCCUUUGAACUGGAGAAGGUUGGUGUAGUAAGUGUUGUCAAAUGCAACGGGAGACUGCAAGUCGAGUGGGGCUAGAUUGUUGUCCCUCGGGCUAGCUGAGCUUGGGCAGUUCUUCCGCCUUAUCUCACCGAAGGAACGGUCCAGGUCGGUCUCAUUGUAGAUCCGAGCUCUGAAAUUUGCACAUUUCGCUUGCCCUAUCGAAUGUGAACCUGUCAAAACAAAUAUGAUAAGUUAGUAUCUCUUUUUUUUCUUUUUCUUUUUUUCUCCAUUUACAAUAAAAAAAAUUAAAAAAAAAUGUUUUUUGCAUUAUUAUUCCAGCAACCGUUCGGGAUUGUGUUUAUGAGUGUACGUACCAGAUAAAGCCACCAAGUUUGUCGUGGAGAGGCCAGAAUUUUCAAAGCUAGAUAUGAGGUCGGUAAGGUUUCAGGUUGGAGAGGGAAGGCUACUGUUAGUAGCUGCUUGGCUCGCGGUUCUUGCAUCUCUCCUUCCGAGUUUCACGUUCCAGCUUGGCCCUCCAAGCUGCAAAUUUCAACACAAUCUUAGUUAUAGCAAAUUUGUGAGUAGUACUUGUAUGGGGUAGUGAUUUUUUUUGGAGGGAUUGGGAGGGCUUACCAAGACGAUGGAGUCACGAGCGGUGAUGGCCAACAAGUCAGCGCAAGAAACAAUACCAGGGCACACUUUCUCCACAACAGACUUGACAUCGUCUAUGACCUCGAAUCCUCUGGCAGAGUUUCGGUUUGGAGCUGCGUUCUUUUCACCAGUGAAAGUUGGCGUGUCGUCGAGAAGAACCCAUCCAUCGCAGCCCUGGCAAUAGACGAAAGACAAAAUGAAUUUCUAGGAUACAAUGAAAGAAAGAUAAGUCAAUUUAUGGUAGCUUACAUUCACAAAGCAAUCAUGGAAAAACAGGCAGAGGAGGGAGGCUCCCAUUCUAGGUUCCUUCUUGACAGUGGAUUCCACCCGGGAUUUGACCGCGGUGAAGACGUUCGGACAUGUUUUUGAAUAGAAAUCGGGGGAAAGCUGGGCAUCGGAGCACCCCAUUAGGAGAAGCAAGGUGCAAGACAAAGUGAAAAAGGGCCACAGAACAUGACGAAGGUGCCAUUGACAAUGUCACAUUACAAGCCCGAGAAGUGUGAAGGAUUUUUGCGUGGAUGACGGUUGUGCGCAUCGGGGGUUUAUAUAGUAGAGAGCUAGAGAGACCCACGAGAUAGUCCAUGGACAGGCAGGCAAAAUUGAGUUCCUCCUCAUCAAGAAGUAGAGGUUUUCCAUCUACCUCUCUUUCCGGGGAGGACAAAAACGGUGGUUGCUCUGUACAAGCGAACCCCAUUAAUGGAUGAUCGACUCCGGAUGGUCAUUACUGGAUUAAGAAGCGCAAAACGGGAGUCAAAGAGUUUUGUCUACUAAUGAAGCGACAUGGCAAGAUUAGGAUCGGAUGUUUAGCCCAAUUAGACCCGUACACUGUUGAUGAACUUCUUCAAAUAGCCAAGGUAAUCUCGACAAGACAAUUUCAUUUGUUUUUACGACGAACGACAAAAUAUAGAAGAAGAGAGACAAAGGGAAUAUAAAGUUCGUGCGUAUCCGAAUCAGCACAAUCGUGAGUUGAUGACGGUGGCUGACUAAUCAAACUCUGUAACAUUAUCUUUGUCCGUAGAUUUUUCUUUGCUCUGUCGGUGUUUGUUCGUGCGGUUGUAUUACAUGGGUGUUAUGUGCACCCUUGACCUGCGAGAAGACUUCAUUGAGUUACUAUGGGCUAGUUUUUCAAUCACUGUCGAUGUCGAGCUAGAUCGGACGAAGCCCUCGAUAGUCAGGACCUCUCUUUCCGUUUCUUUGCAAAUUAUGAGGUCAAUCAUAAAAAUCUCUUUCUAUUGAAAUUGUUAUCCAAGGCAGGCUUUUAGGUUUUUCUAUUUUCAUGUACAUGUUUGCCUUUGGUCUCUAUAUUUUGACUUCAUUAACCGAGAGAAUGAUCUUUGGCCACAGGAACUUGCGGGCACGGCACUAUGCAAAUUGGUUUUCGGUACCAAUAGAUCUUCCUGCGAGUAAAGUUUGGUGACAUGCUCAUGCGCCCUCGUGAUUCGACUUGAGCUCAAGGCACGCACUAUUCGAAGGCUGGUCCUGCCUAAUACCAUCGCGAAUCGACGCGAUUGACUGGAUUUAUUCUGUUUGUUGAAUGGUCAUAAAAGAAAGUAAAGGAGAAUUUUUGCAUCUUAAGAAUUGUAAAGUAGGUUUUCAGGCUUCGAAAGCCCUGGGGAACCACCCUGUUCGCAUCCCCAUAGACCUUAGCAGAGGAACUCGAAGUGCUCGAUUUCACCGAUGCCAAAAGUAGCAAGACGUGCAUUUAGACAGCGUCAGUUUUCAAUAGAAAAACAACAUAUGACAUGUAUGAUUCAAUGACUCUUUUUACAUAGUGCGGAGGAUUACAUGGCCCAUAUGUAUUUAGACAAACGAAUGGAUGUUGCUGAGUUGGCUUGAAAUGAAUGACCACUGUACGUUAAUCUGUCGGCAGGUUUCAGCUUGCUCGACCCUGCAGCAGCUUGACUUGGUGUUAUUCUUAAGUCCGAACAGCGGCUUCCGACUCUGCUUCUCUCCUAAAAAAAGUCUACGCUUUUGGGAGUGAAAUUUACUACAGGCUUAUUUUGUAUAUUGGACAAUUGCUACGGCCCUUGUCAAAAUGAUCCAGUUUAUAUUCACAAUCACGUUGAGCAUUAAAAAAGAAAAGAGAAAUAUCAAUUCUUUGAUCAUGUGUUUGAAAAAGAAAAGAGAAAAAUUAAUUCUUUGAUCAUGUGUUGCAAAAGAGUAUAUAUAUAUAUAUGUAUGUAUAUUGACUACUAAAAAAUCAUUCAAUUUUUAAAUCAUGUGUUUGCACCCAGAUAGAGAGAGACUAGUGGGGAUAUUGAAUCAAUCAGUGCAAAAACCUAUUAUGCGGAUAGUGUAUAUAAUGUGUCAAAAAUUCGAUGCGUCUUUAUGGAGAGAGAGAGAGAGAGAUUUUUUUUUUUUUUUUAUUACUUCGAGAAUGUCUUCUAGUAUUUGGUACUUAGUGUUUAUUUGUUAACAUACAAGAGAAUAUUAUAUGAUCUUCUAUUAUUGGAAUUUUUACUCGACAUUGGUUGUCUAACCACGAUCGAUUACAGAUCAAGAGGGAGCGGUAUAGAUUGCUUCAACUUCAUUACAGAUAGAAAGGAGUGAUGCAUUUUUAAAUUUCUCUAUCUUGUUCUUUUACAUUCUUUGAGCUUGGUCCACAGGAAGAUUAUGAUGUUGACUGGAUGCACCUUUCUACGCAAGAGGUGAAUAUUUUUCACGGAAGACUAAUAGUGUUGCUUACACAAUCUUAUGAAGACUCUUCAACGACUUGUUGGGUUUGAGCCUAACCUUUCCUUUAUCCAGCCUUUAUAGGCAAGACUAAAUCCACCUUCCCAAAUUGAAGAAAGGUACACAACCUCCUGUGAGAACAAAGAUUCAUAAUAAUACUUUUUCUUUUUAUUGCCUAGCUCCGAGUGGUCGCAUUUGAAACUUCACGCUUCUUAACGUGCACCCCAAUUGUUUUACCGUUUAUCCAAGGAGUUAGUCGUUGGUUAACACGAUUUAAGAUUACUGUAGAAGCCAGACUGAGGCAAAUGCGUUGGUAUGUAGCAUGAGCUUAGAACUAAUAUAUAUGAAAGAGGAGUUCUUAUUUAUUAAACCUUAUCCUCUUGUCCAUUCCCUCUGGUUAAUUGAACUUGAGACAUUUCACAAAAAGAGCUCUUAUUUAUAAAUAUGUAGAAAUAAAUUAAACAUAUUCGAUAAUACUUUACAUAAUAAAUUUUAUUGUGAAAAUGGGUGCUGUGGUGUAUAUUAUAUCUUGUCAAAUACCUCCAAAGUUGUAGCUAUGAAGUUGCCUCACCCAUACCCAAUAUUAAAAUUUACCAAUUACUAAAGCCACAAGUUACAUAUCUUUUCAGUGCAUUUGAACUGCGGAUACAUAAAAUUGGCUCUAAAUUUAUCAAAUUGUAUCGAGUCAAUUUGUUUACUUAAAUAUGUCUAAAAGUGUCAUAGAUGGAUUUAAAAAAUACAAUGUACGUGACACAUUUAUUAUUCAUGCGGAGACAAGUUGAUCCAAUUAUAAUACAAACACAUUGAAUCUUAUAAUGAACACAUUUAAUUAGGUGGUUGUACUGAAAUUUAUCAAAUCUACAUAGGAAGAAUUGUGCUAAAUUUUUCAUAUGACGAGGAUAACCAUCCAAAGUUUUGUAGUCCUCCGUAGUAGUGUCCAAAAAUUAAAGUUUGAUCCAAUUUCCCAUGAUAGAAAGAAAAACUAGGUUAAUCCUCAUGAAGAAAUAGUUAAACCAUGGGAUAAUGACACAAAUAGUCUCUGAAUGUUUGCCAAAUGUGCAAUGUAGUCUUUGAACUUUUAGUUUUUUUUUUUAAUACGGUCCCUACACUUUAGCCUAACUUUAAAUAUGGUCCCUUAACUUUUAAUUUGUUCAAUGUAAUCCUAAACUUUUUGUACAUAUUUAAUGUAAUCCUUGAACUAUAUCAAAAUAUUCAAUGUACCAAAAGUUGAGAGAUCAUAUUAAACAUUGGGUUAAAGUUUAGGGAUCACAUUAAACAAAUUAAAAGUUUAGGGAGAACAUUGCACAUUCAACGUAAAUUUAGGGAUCAUUUGCGUCAAUUUAACAAUUUCCCUUAAAUCAUGGAUCAAAAUAAAUAAGAGGUGAACAAUGGCAAUGUUCUCAAAGGCAAAUUCAAGUCUGAAAUGGGUCAUUGCCCUCUAGAUUAUUCAAGACGCAAACAUAGAGAGAAAAAAUAAUCACCAUCUUUAUCGACUUCAUGUUUUGAACCACAAAAACCGCAGACUCUGCCUGUGGUCACUCAAACACAAUAGCUAUAGGGGUCCGAACCGAAUGCCGAGCAGAGACCCACGUGAUUGCCCCCUGAGCAUACGGCGACGGCGCUUUCGAGUCAACUUCCCUCGUAAAGUCAACCCGGUAACUCGCUGUCUGGUUCGCCUCUGUGAACACGAGUUCACGCGGGUACACGCCAAUUGAGACCGGACCCUUGAUCGGGUCGACGACUGACUGGUAACGCGACUUUGCGGGUCCGACGUUUUUCACCGUCCUUGUCACACUCACGUUCGUCACCGAAGGCUUGAAGCUCACGGUGAUCGAUGGAUAGUUGAGCUGGUAAUCAGGUAUGCUCCCUAUGCUCGAGCAGUUGACUUUUUUUUUAACUAUAACCUCGAUUUGGGACUCGUUGGAGAUGAGCCCACAAAGGUAAGGGAUGUAAUCUUGCGGUCCAUCGUCGUAAACGAGACCCGGGUCGACGGCCUUCGAUGGGUUGAUGUGUCCUGCGCCAGUGGCGAAAAUGUCCGCUGGAUGGAGUGUCUCGUCCACGAUGGGUCGGCCCUCCAUGUUGAUGGUGGUGGCAGUGGUCAUGAUGGCGGACUUGAUGGCUGCUGGCGACCAAUUGGGGUGCGCGCUCUUGAGCAGCGCCGCCACACCACUGAGGUGGGGGCAGGACAUGGAGGUCCCGGAGAUCACGUUGAAUGCGUGCUUCAAGUUCGUAGAAUUGUCUAAAGGAAAUGGCCAACCAGCGAGAAUGUUCAAGCCCGGGCCGAUGAUGUCAGGUUUGAGGAUGCCUGGGCUUUGGCGGUUGGGGCCGCGGGAAGAGAAUGAUGCUACAGCCGGGGCGACCGAUCUCCUGAUGAUGUGCGUGCCUUUGAAUAGGAUCGUGGCCAUUGGUGUUGACGCUGUGUUAAAGUAUCUCUUGAUCUCUCUCCCCGCGACAUAGCUCACUUCCACCGCGGGUAGGACAUGCGCAUCAGCCAGUGUGGUGUAUCCGUCAGUGAGACCGUUCACGAGGAUCAUGGCCACACCACCUCUAUCCUUGACCUCUUGACCUGCUACGACUGGCUCAGUACUUCCUAAGUCGCACACAACCACUUUCCCUCGAAUGUCCGAGCGAAACCUUAGUGAUCCUUUAGCGCAGUCCUGGAUGCGAUCAUCUAUUUCUGGAUAAAUUAGGGGAAGUAGUGCCGGAUGGAAGUUGUGCGGUUGGUACAAGGUCUCCCCAUCGAACUCUAGGCCAUUCCCCAGCCGCGCUGUGGCCUCUAUGCUACGGUCGAUGCUGCUCGCACCCACAGUGAGAAUCCACGGAGCCUCGUUUGACAAUGAGGUGUUGUAUGGCCCUGAAUUCCCCGCGGAGCAGCUGACGAAGAUGCCCUUUUGGGUGGCGGCAAAUGCACCCUGCGCAAUCCAGUCUUUGAAGAACGGUUUGGAAUUUCCUCCUAAAGAGACGGAAAGCACAUCGACACCGUCCUCGAUGGCGGCAUCGAACCCAGCCAAUAUACUGCUUGCAGGGCAAGCGUCAUCUACGCAAACCUUGUACAUUGCCAAAUGUGCAAGAGGCGCCAUGCCUACGGCCGUGCCUUUUGCAUUACCGAGCGCGCUGGCAUCCCUCACAAAAGCACCGGCAGCUAUGCUGGAAGUGUGCGUGCCAUGCCCAGUAUCAUCAUAUGGUGGAACGGCCUGCGUGGCGUUGAUCGGGUUGAUGAAAGACCUCGCACCGAUGAGCUUGUUGUUGCAGGACGUGCCGUUGAAGUCACACCUCCCCUUCCAUUUGGCUGGGGGUGGAGGCACCCCCUCGUCGUUGAAGGAAGGGUGGUCCGGGAAAACCCCUGAGUCCAGUAGUCCGAUGAUCAUGCCCUUACCAAAGUUCGAGUCCUUCCAGAGCCCGACUCCUUGGUGCAAUCCCAGGAAGUCGGGGGUGCGAGUUGUGUGUAGAGAAAGCACCUCCUCCGGGUGUACCUGCAAAACACCGUCCUUCUCCUGAACGGCUUUAGCUUCCUCGGCGGUCAAUUUGGCUGCGAACCCGGAUAUCGCAUGCUGGUACGAGUGAACCAUUCUUUGCUCUUGGUUAGAGCUGGCUGCUGUGGUGGGUAAAAAGGACCGAUACAAAGAAUCGAGUAUUUCUUCUUCAGUACUUCAAGUUUAUUCUUUCGUACUUGGAUAAUGUAAGUUGACAAUGAGCUCCUUGUAUCAGCUACUGCCAUAGCAGCAUUAGCUGGGGAAAUGCUUAGAAUGUAAAUGAUACCGAGAAUUAAAAUUAUCAAGGUGGUCGGAGACAAUUUGCAUUUCUGAUCUUCCAUCUCGAAUUUGAAGAAGAAACAGUACCUUUUGUUUCCGAGUUCUGUGUCGAUAGUAUAUAGGAGAAGCAAAAUGAAGAAAUGCAUUGUUCUCAUGACCCUCCGGAAGCCAAUAUUGGUACUUUUUCUCUUUUGGAAGAAAACUAUCCUUAGAAAGAAAACUAUCCGUGGUGAUUUUUAUUUCCUAACAUGCAUAUGCAUGUCCAUGUUAGAAUUGCAUAAGAUCUGUUAUAAUCCUCAAGGACAGGGCACCAUCCAUAAAAAUUUAAGAUAGAGUAGACUAGUGCAUCGAAGGAAAUAUAAACAUGCAGCAAAUCCUAAAUAAAUUAUUUUCCUCAAAUGAGCUUGAGCAAUAAGAAAGAAAGUAAAUAAGGAAAAGAGAAGAAAAGGAAAAAAAAAUUCUAAAAAAUAUUAAAAUACUAUUGCAAAUUACCCGCAUUAGUGUUGAUUGUGCCAUGUGAGAUGUCUAGCAUUCAUAUUAGCGAUUUUCGACUAAAAUUAAUCGGAUUGAGUAAAUUGACAAUACUUGAAAAGGUUUAUGACUUAAUUAGCAAAAUUAAAUAUUUAAGACUGAAUUGAUAAAAGUACAAUAAAUUUAGAACUUAUUGGUGAGGUGGCCGGCAAGGUUGACCUCGACCUCGUCGACUAGAGGAAUGAGGAGAGAAGCAAAAAAAGAAAAAGAAUAAUUUUUUUAAAAUAAUAAAAAAUGUUUAAAAUAUUAAAAUAUUAUUAAAAAUUGUCCACAUUAGCACCAAUCGAGUCACGUUAGCCGCCUGAUACCCAAUUAGCAAAAUCCGAUUGAAAUUGACCGAGAAUGACUGAAUUGGCACUAAGUAAAAAGAUUUAGGACUAAAUUGGUAUUAAAAAAAUUAUGACGAAAUUGGCAUAAAUGCAAAAGGUUUUUUGAACACUUCUCCCUAAAAUAGUAUGCUCUAGCGACGAAAUACAAAAAUGCGAAUGCACAAUAUUGAUAUUUGGUUUAGGGAUUGGGUCGAUUCCUAAUUUUUUAUGUAGUGACUCAUUCGGCGAGUCAAAAUUUAAGUAUCAACAAUUUAUUAAUUAACUUCAACAACACCAAAUAAUCCUAGGAGCAUCUAGAGGAUGAGUUCAUUUGUUUAUUAUCUAGCCAAAAUGCAUUUAUUGCAUGCUCUAUGCAUUCAUAUUAACGCUAUUCAAAUUACUUGACUUUGGUGCCGUCCAAUGGCUCUUUUCAACGUGCAAAAUGCCACAGCGAAAGAAGAUGCACAAGCUGGUCCAUUCAAAAUGAUAUCAACCAUGAACACAAAAUCAUCAAUAGGUUGCUAGCUACUAGAAGCAGCUAAUCCAGUUGGCAUUGGAUAGAAUUAACAAAUCUAAGCUCUGGACCGAACUUUUGGAAGUAAGAAAACUCACUCCUAGUUAAUACAUUCCUGAAGAAGUGAUGAGAUCCUAAACAUUCAACUUACACUUCGACGCUUCAAACGCAUCCCCUCUCUCUCUCUCUCUCUCUCUCUCUCUCUCUCUCUCUCUAUUGAAUCAUACCUCUCUUUCUUGUAAGAUACAAAGAAGGGACAAAUAUGCCACGAUUGGGGUGGAUUAUCAUCUUGAGACCAGCUCUCCAUGAAACAUUAUUGGCACUCCAAAUUCAUCUGAAUAAACGAAAGUGGCACAUACUAAGCUGUCUGUAAGAAUUCAAACUCCUGAUUAUGAAGGUAUCCUAAAAUGUGACUAUAUGAUUUUAUAGCCUCGCUCAGUAUCAGUGGCAAAGGCAGUGUCGGGUGACGUGGACUCGGGCAAUUUGGACGCCAUCUUCCAUGUCGGAGACAUAAGCUAUGCCCCCGGCUUCUUAGUGGAGUGGAAUUUCUUCCUCCACUCAUCAGCCCUGUUGCUCCCCGAGUUUCCCACACGUCUGCAAUCAGAAGCCAUGAAAGGUAACUAUCUCGGGUUGAUAUGCGUCCCUUCCAGUGCAAUAAACAGCUGAACCAACAUAAUUAGCAGCAUGAGUUGAAGAUGAUUUCUAAUUUUCUUUCACAUGAAGAGAUUACAGGGCCCCGGAUCCAUGUACUUAACUCUGGACUCCAGUGGGGAAUGCGGCAUUGCCUAUGAGACAUUGUAUGCCAACCCCAGCGAAGUACAAGCCAUGGUAUUCCAUAGAACAAGCCAGUGUUCAUUUUACCGUGAUUUCAACCAAACACGACUGAUCUAAAACUCCUUGAUCUAAGGGCAAUCAAGCUGAACACUUCUGGUAUCACAUUUUCAUGUCAAUGAGCUGACAUUUUUAUGUCAUAAGAAUGUCAUGUUGUCAGUAUCAAUGGAUGAGAGGGAACAUGGCUUCAAUCGACUGAUCUAAAACUCCUCGGUUAGUUUUCACGGGGAAAGUACAUUUGCUUCUCGAUGAUUGCGAGUUUCACUAAUUGAUUUUGCGUACUCUCAAACUAAAAACUUCUCAAGACAACAGAGAUCAAGUGUAGCGGUUGGCGCCUGCAGGCACAGGCCCAGCCCAUGUACAUUUCUGGUUCCGAAGGAGGUGAUGACCAUAGGUUUCUUGAUGCUGUAGAGCCCUUGCUAUUGGACAACAAGGCAACCUUCUGCUUCUUAAUUCCAUUCGGAUGUCGAAUGAUUUGCUGAUCUGUACUCAUCGAGCAUUUGAUAUCAGAGGCUGACCUAGUUCUCUUCGGCCACGUUCCUAACUAUGAAAGAACGUGCUCAGUUUACCAAAAUCAGUGUAAAGCCGUGCCAAAGUAAGAUCAAAGCGGGGUCGAUAGUGCACCUGUGCAAGUGGUUAUUGGUAUGGCCGGGUUCGGUCUGGAUGACUUCCUAGAUGAGAUUAGAGUCUGUUCUCCUCACACCGUUGUAAAUAGUAAACCAAUAUAGCUUUUUGUCUAAACCUGCACAAUUCUUUGGCAAUUUCUGAAAAUCCGUCCUUGUAUUCAUCAGUGCUUAAUCUCAAUUCCAUUUCCUGCAUUUACAUAGGCUGAAUGUUGCUUAACCAAACAAUGCCAUCUUAACGACACCUUUCGGAUUUACGAGCCCUGAAAUAUCCAGAUUCCAGAGAUUUUUAGCUUGCUGUUAAGAAAUUAAAUGUGGAUUCUGCUGCUCAUAUCAUUCAACUUGAUACGGUUACAUGGGGAUUAUCAUUUUGGUUGCUCCCAUGAAUAAGAUCUGUAGAAGUGAAGCCCCGUUGAUUUUUUUGCAGCCAAGUGACUGGAGUUUGAUAAGGAUUUCCAAAUUCGGCUAUUUCACAGGACAUGCAACUCUAGAAGAGUUACAAUUAGAGGUCAAAACUCUCGAAUUUUCCGUUGCCCUUCCCACAAUCAUCAUUCCUUUUAGCUUUAUGACUGCUUACUCGAUUACAUAUGACUUCAUUUGUUGAGAAAUUGUUCUAGUUUGUUGUGAUGCUUUGAAAUAGAAACUAUGUACAGUUUCUGAUGUCCUGUGUGUAGAAUAAUAUUUAAAACAAUUAAGAACAAACGGAUCCAUACAUGAUUGUAAAACACCAAGAUCAAUAAAUACAACGGAAUUAAAGCGUACAUGUUUGAGCCAUUGCUUUACUUGAAGAAAUCUAGAUCACUCUGAUAAUCAGGGAUCUAUUGGAAUACCAGAUCUUCCUCUCUAUGGCCUAUUUCGUUAUAGCAGCUUUCAAUGGGAUUAAAGCAAUUGAUAGGUAUAACCUACCCUUUUAUAGGCUAGAGAGUGGACCUAGCAAACCCUAAUCAACAGCGUGUCAACUGGGCUCUUCCCAUUACGGGCUUCAGUCAAACACAAUUGCCUACACUUUGCUGCUCAACUAGGCCCGUUAACAAUAGAUGCCAAUACCAAAUUCAAUCAAAUCACUUUAAGGUUUAACAAAUAUUGGAAUAUCCAUUAACCCGAUUAUUUAAAAUAGAAAAUCAAUUAAUUAAUGUAAGCCCAUAUUAUAGGAAAUUUCUAACAUUCUCCCACUUGGGCUACAUUAAUUAACUCAUUUUAUUUUGAAAAAGAUUUUAUAUUGAAAACGACACUAUCGGGUUAAUAACUAAAAUUUUGUUUUAUGUGGCCACAACUUUUAAAAAAUAAUAUUCCAAUAAUGGCAUCUCAAUACCAAUCCAAUCCUAUAUAACCUCAAUAUAGGACUAUGGAGAUCAAUGUGUUAAGAAAAUACCACAACACAAGACCUUCCAUAAGUGGUGUAGUAAGAAAUAGUGCCAACAUGUGAUCAAGAUAUACACUAUUUCUUAUCGGUCCUCAAUGCAAUUUCUCAACGACAUGAAAUUACAUUAUCGCAAUUUCUAAACAGCAUGAAAUUGCCUCAGUGCGAUUUCUAAACAACAUGAAAUUGCACAAUUAUGUCACAAUCCAACAUGAGAUCUCAUAAUCAGUGACAUCCAGUCAUCUUUAAACUAAAAUUUGUUUAAAGAUACUGUUUUAUAUUUCCAUUUCUCAGUCAACAGGAGAAAGGAUAACAAUAGAAUCAAUAACAACAAUCAUUAAAAAUAAAUGCUUUAAUAGACAUCAUAAAAGCAUUAUCAGUCUGCAUAUAACUAUAAUAUCCAGAAAUACAAACUAUAUAACUCCCACUAACAAAAGAAAUCAAAAGAUUCUAAAACACCCAUAUUCUUUACAUGUUCUUUAAACAAAAUGGGUCGUAAGCCUUUUGUUAGAGGAUCAGCCAACAUGGACUUAGUUCUAAUAUUUUCAAUUACAACGUCUCCAUUUUUUACCAAGUCCUUAACAAUAUAAUAUUUGAUCUCCAUGUGUUUGGACGCAUUACUAAUCUUGUCAUGCUUGGAAUAAAACACAGCUGCAAUGUUGUCACGGUAGAUCACCAUAGGUCUAGCAAUAGAGUCCACAACACGCAAUUCUGAGAUCAAAUUUCUGAGCCAAACUGCUUGAACCGACGCGCCGUAGCACGCUACAAACUCAGCAUACAUUGUAGAGUUCGUAAUCAAUGUUUGCUUUGUGCUCUUCCAAGAAAUAGCACCUCCAGCCAUCAUAAAAAUAUAUCCAUAAGUUGAUAUUCUAUCAUCUGAACAACUAGCAAAAUCAGCAUCUGAAUAUCCAAUCACUUUUAGGUCCUCAACUCUGCUAUAAACGAGCAUGAAAUCCUUUGUUCGUUGUAGAUAUCUCAUCACCUUCUUAGCUGCAACCCAAUGUUCUUGACCUGGAUUCGACAGAUAUCUUCCAAGAGUAUUCACAGCAAAAGCAAUAUCAGGUAUGGUACAUACUUGUGCAUACAUAAGACUGCCAACUACACUAGCAUAUGGAACAUUUUUCAUGACUUCCUUUUCAACAUCAUUCUUGGGGCAUUGAUCUAUGCUCAAUUUAUCUCCUUUCACAACAGGAGCUUCACCUGACUUACAGGUCUGCAUAUUGAAUCUUUUCAAAACACGAUCUAUAUAACUUUUCUGAGAUAAUCCCAGAACCUUCUUAGAUCUGUCACGAUGAAUCUCAAUGCCUAGAACAAAAGAGGCUUCCCCAAGAUCUUUCAUAUCAAACUUUGUAGAUAUAAAAUUUUUGGUUUUGGUGUCAUUCAAUAGAUCAACAUCACUGCUAGCAAGUAAAAUGUCAUCUACAUAAAGUACUAAGAAAAUAUAUUUACUCCCACUUACUUUCAUGUAGAUGCAUUGAUCAAACUUAUUUUCUUCAAAGCCAAAUGAUCUCACAACUUUGUGAAAUUUUAAGUACCACUGACGUGAUGCUUGUUUGAGACCAUAGAUGGAUCUUUGAAGUUUGCACACCAUAUGCUCCUUUCCGGCUUCUUUGAACCCUUCAGGUUGCUGCAUAUAUACUUCUUCAUCCAGAUCUCCAUUUAGAAAAGCUGUCUUGACAUCCAUUUGGUGAAGCUCUAAAUCAAAAUGAGCCACCAAAGCCAAGAUUAUCCGAAAAGAGUCUUUAGUAGAUAAUGGGGAAAAGACUUCAUUAUAAUCAAUACCUUCUCUCCGUGUGUACCCUUUUGCGACUAACCUUGCUUUGAAUCUCUCGAUGUUGCCCUUAUUGUCUUUCUUGGUUUUGAAUACCCAUUUGCAGCCGAUUGGCUUAUGCCCAUCAGGUAAAUCAACAAGUUUCCAUACUUGAUUAGUUGACAUGGACAUCAUCUCGUCAUUCAUCGCUCCUAACCAUUUAUCUGCCUGAUUACUAUUAAGAGCUUCUUUGAAGGUCGUCGGAUCAACUACACUUCCAAUGUCAAAAUCAGCUUCUCCAAGAUAAACAUGAUAAUCAUUUAAAAGUGUUGGUCUUCUUUGUCGCUGUGAUCUUCGCACAGGCAUUUUUGGAGCUACAUCAUUCAUCUAGGGAAUUUCAUUUGUAAUGGGAGGAUCUACCGUCAUAUUUUCGGUAUUUGCUUCCUGUUGAAUUUCCAAUCUGCUGGGAUCUCGCAUAGAAUCAUCAUGCAAGAUGGGCAAUGGAAUAGAGACCGUUUUAUUUGGUUCUUCCAUUUCGAAAGAUUGAGAAGAACUCUUUUCAGCAACAUCUAAUUCCAGGAAUUUGGCAGUUUGAGAUUCAACGAUUCUAGUGCCUCGAGUAGAACAAUAAAAUUUAUACCCUUUAGAAUGAUCAGGAUAUCCAAUAAAGUAACAUCUAGUAGUCCUGGAUUCGGUCUUCUUCUGAGAAGGAUCAUAAAUUUUCACCUCUGCAGGACAACCCCAAACUCAAAAAUGAUUCAAGCUAGGUUUCCUCCCAGUCCACAAUUCAAAAGGUGUUUUCGGCACCGAUUUACUAGGUACACGAUUCAAUAUAUAAGUUGCCGUUUUAAUCGCGUCACCCCAUAAGUAUUCAGGCAAAUUAGAACUGCCCAUCAUACUUCGUUUCAUCUCCAUGAGUGUGCGAUUUCGCCGUUCAGCUACACCAUUUUGCUCAGGACUCCCAGGCAUUGUAUAUUGAGCAACAAUACCACAGUCCUGCAAAUAUUUUACAAACGGUCCCUUUUGUUGUCCAACCUCAGUAUAUCGCCCAUAAUACGCACCACCACGAUCAGAUCUGACAAUCUUGAUAAUUUUUCCCAAUUGUUUCUCAACUUCAGUACGAAACACUUUAAACAUGUCAAGAGCAUCAGUCUUCUCCUUAAUUAGAUAAAGAUAACAAUAACGGGAGAAAUCAUCAAUGAACGUGAUGAAGUAUUUAUUUCCACACAAGGUGGUUGAGUAUGGCCCACUAAUAUCAGUAUGAAUUAUCUCCAAUAGACUUUGACUGCGAGUAGCGCCUUUCUUAUUUGUUUUAGUUAAUUUUCCCCUUACACAAUCAAUACAAGUCUCAAUAUCAUCUGAGUCAAGAGGAGGGAGAAUAUCAGCCACGAUAAGUCGCUUUACCCGUUCUUUUGAGAUAUGCCCCAAUCGCUUAUGCCAUAGCAAUGAAGAUCUAUCUUUAAUCAAAGAUCUCUUAGCAACAACAUUCUCGACAUUGAAAGAGCAAUAUGGUCUAUCGGGAGAUAAGGAUAAUCGAUAUAAUCCAUCAAACAAAACACAAUUCCCAAUAAUUCUGGAAUCAUAACUCAAAUCCACUCUUUUAUUCGCAAAAUGAAGACAAUAUCCAGCUUUGUCAAGCGAAGAAAGAGAUACUAAGUUUCUCCUAAAAUUAGGAACAUAAAAGACAUUGUUCAAGACAAGCUGAAAACCAGAAUCUAAAUUCAAAACAACUGUCCCUAUGCGCUCCACAUCAACUCCAAUAUUGUUUCCAACUUUAAGCUUUGACUCCCUCAGACUUGGACUCCUUAGAUUUGUGAGACCCUGUAAGGUAGUAGUCACAUGAACAGUAGCACCAGAAUCAAGCCACCAAGAAUCCAAAGGAACAUCAACCAAAUUUGAUUCAAAACAAACCAACAACUCACCUUGGUGACUUUCUUUUCUUGUUUUUAGCCAAGCUCGAAAUUUGUAGCAAUUGGCUCUCUUGUGACCCUGCUUCUUGCAGUGAAAACAUUUAAAAUCCUUAUCUCCAUUCCUCACAUAGUUCUCAUUUUUCCUAAAGUCUUGCCAUUUCUUUGGGCCAUGAGCAUUUGACCCCUUAGGCUUCCAUUUGCCUCUAUAUGAACUCAACUUGGCAUUGGUAGUUAAAUGGGUAGACUCAUACUUUUCAUUCUUUAAUUUCUCUUUCUCAGUCACACACUUAGUAAUCAAGGCAUUAACACUCCAUGUCUCAUUCUGAGCAUUAUAAGCAGUCUUAAUCUGGCUAAAUUCAGCUGGCAAAACAUUUAAGGCUUGAUGCACAAUAUAAUUUUCAGAAAGAACAAUUUCAUGGGCCUUAAGUUUGGACUGAAUGUGGACCAUCUUCAGUAUAAAUUCUCUAACACCCAUAGUAGCAUCAUACCUCAUGUUCGUUAACUCACUCAGCAAGUUCCCAGCUUCAGCCUUAUCUGAGACUCUAUAUCUUUCUCCCACUGCUUCAAGGAACUGUCUGGCAUUCGUAUCUUCCGGCAAACCACUAAUCAGAUGCUCAGCAAUAGACAUCUUCAUAGCAAUGAGGCUCAGUCGAUUAGAUUUUUCCCAUCUAGCAUAAUAGGCCUUUUGAUCUGCAGUACUUUGAUCAUUGGGCCUGGCAGGUUCAUCCUCACGUAAAGCCAAGUCCAUAUCAACGAUGCCCAAAGCAAACUCUAUAUCUUGUUUCCAUCUCUUAAAGUUUGAUCCAGUUAACAUUUCCACCGUAGCAUUAUUGUUAUUUACAGCAAAGGUAACUGUUUAACACACACAAUGCAAUAUGAUCAAUUAUGGGCAAUAAGAAACUCAACAAAAAUAAUCAGUACAUCAUAAACUCCCAUUUGGGCAAAGUGUAUAAUGCACCAUUAUUUUUCCCAACAUGAAAUUUAUAAAGCAACAACAGGAGAAUUACAUAUAAUUGUUAAGGAUCCAUCCCCUUUGAGCAGACAAAUCCUUUAAAUCAUACAUCUCCAUAAUAUCAACAUAGAGGGGAAUUACAUAUAAUUUUCAAAACAUUUAUCCCAUUUGGGCAGAUAAAUAUUUUUCAAUUAUACAUCCCCAUCUUUUAAAUAUGGGAAUAAACUUCAUGCUAUUUUUCCAAAUUAAUAUACACAAUAACUCCCUUUGGGCGAGUAAUUGUAUAUAUUAAUCUUUUAUCAAUAGGGAACUCCAAAAUGUAUGCCCAAAAUUCAUCAAACAAUAUGAAACACUUUACAACAUGUGCUUCCAAUGAUCAUAUUGCACCUUUUCAAACAACAAUUUAAAAAAAAAUAUAUAUAUAUAUAUUAUAAUAUUAUUAUAAUAUUAUUUAAAUAUUACGGACUCCCGCGGGCCCAGGACCCGCGAGCAGCCCUAAUCGGACCACAGGCCUGACGCGCGCGCGGCCCAAGCUGUUCUUUUCAUUUUUCUUAUUCUGGUUUUGGGCUCACGCCCAUGAACCAAGAAAAGAAACUUUCUGGCCGUGGGCCUAGACCAACUUUAAAAACAAGGUUCUGGGCGUAGCCCAGAACCUUAAACAUAAAAUAAAAUUAAGGCAGGAUGGGCUUACGCCCAUCCACUGGCUUGGCCCGGCUGGAGGUCUUCUUCAACCUCCAGCCGGGUCACGAAUUUGCAGCAAACCGGGUCGCACGACCCGGUUUCGACCUGAAGCUCCAAAACCACACAUUAUAUUUGAUUUUUUAUGAAAUUUUUUUCAUGGAUCUUGCUUCUAACAUCAAUAUGAUUAACUAUAAUCAAUCAAACGGAGAAAAACCAACUAAAUCUACCACAUGCAAGCUUCGAAGUUUCGGAUCCAAGCCUCCCAUGGCCGAAAAUUAGGUUUUGCCCUAAAAACUCAAUUUAAUACAACAAAAGAUACUAAAAAAAAUAUAUAACAAUACCCAUACAACGAUUUGCAUCGAACAUCAAUCAAUUGCAAGUAAUUUGCAAAUUCUAGAACUUUUUCACGUAUAAACCCUAGAAUUUCAAAUCUAAAAUUCUCUCUCAAUUCUCAACGAAAUUAUGCAAAUUAUAUAUGGUUGGAAAGAUCUCAACAUGUAGAACAAAAGCCCUAUGGUUAUAGGAUUAAUCAAGCAAAAAAUCUACAUGAAAAAAUGAUGCCCAUAUUCGGCUCAAAGAGGAGGGUUUCGAAUUUUUCCAUAAAAAGAAAAUUUGGGUUCUACAAUCAUAUACGAUCUGCUCUGAUACCACAUGUAGAAUAUUAUUUAAAAAAAUUAAGAACAAAUGGAUCCAUACAUGAUUGUAAAACACCAAGAUCAAUAAAUACAGCGGAAUUAAAGCGUACAUGUUUGAGCCAUUGCUUUACUUGAAAAAAUCUAGAUCACUCUGAUAAUCAGGGAUCUAUUGGAAUACCAGAUCUUCCUCUCUAUGACCUAUUUCGUUAUAGCAGCUUUCAAUGGGAUUAAAGAAACCGAUAAGUAUAACCUACCCUUUUAUAGGCUAGAAAGGGGACCUAGCAAGCCCUAAUCAAUAGCGUGUCAACUGGGCCCUUCCCAUUACGGGCUUCAGUUAAACACAAUUGCCUACACUUUGCUGCUCAACUAGGCCCGUUAACAAUAGAUGCCAAUACCCAAUUCAAUCAGAUCACUUUAGGGUUUAACAAAUAUUGGAAUAUCCAUUAACCCGAUUAUUUAAAAUAGAAAAUCAAUUAAUUAAUGUAAGCCCAUAUUAUAGGAAAUUUCUAACACUGUGCUCUAAGUAGAGUUUGGAACAUUAAGCAGCUAGAUGUUACUGCAUUCAUGACGACCGUGCUUACGUGCUCAUUNNNNNNNNNNNNNNNNNNNNNNNNNNNNNNNNNNNNNNNNNNNNNNNNNNNNNNNNNNNNNNNNNNNNNNNNNNNNNNNNNNNNNNNNNNNNNNNNNNNNUACGCCUUGCUUGCAGUAUGUGAAUGCCGGCACGAGGAAGGUGGAAGACAUCUUCCGCAACACCCAAUAACCUGACUUUUCAAGUCAACAGGAAGGCACUGCUGGAGAUAACAAGCUGCUAUAGCUACAUAAUCAUACACUUCUACAUUCUACUUCACACAGACAAGAAAUACAAAUGACUUGUGCUGAUAUCCAAGUAAUAAAUCCUGAUUGUCCGCUGACCUAAUCAAAUGCUCUUGAUCUGUCAUGAUGGAAUACAAAUUCAUGAUUGCAGUACUCAUGUGAGCGACCUAACAAGAUGCAUUCAAUCCAAGAGUGAUCUCUCCUUCUGAAGCGAGUUCAAAACCACAACCUCUUGAUGGUUAACAUAAUCUUCCAAAAAUUGUUAUAUAUUUAUGUAAAAAUCAGUGAUUUCAAUUCACAAAUUUUUGUCAUGAAUGCGAUGCAAUGUAAUAAAAUUUAGGAAUUGCUUAAUCAUCCUAAAUUUUUGUGAGUUAUUUAAGUCGCUAUCAAUAAUGAGCUCGACUAACCUUGGGCAUGAAUAUGAUUGGCAAAGCAUAUUCUUCUAAAUUAAUGCCAUUGACCUAAUUGACCAAAAUAUCUCCCGUCUCUUAUCCGAAAAACAGCCAUCCGAUCCAUUCAUACCAUGCUCAAUUGUCAAUUUGAAAAUCAUCGAGUCACGACAUAUCACUCCAUACCUCUGGUUAAGGAUUUACUUAUCAUUUGACUUGUCUCAGCCUUUCACGUAGUUGCGGCUGCAACGACAACUCAAUCCUAGCUAGACAUUUUUCUUGUCGGCAAUGUUCGAAAUUCUUUCCAGAGGGAAUGAUUGAUCACAAUUUCCUUCGUGAAGUCGUGUUGAUGAAGUUUAUAGUAGCGCGAGCGGCGUAUUGCCUUUGUUCGACAACUUCAAACUUUGAGCCCAACCCACUUCGUCCAAGUCAUUCACUACGCUCUACGAUCAGUGAAGCACUUGGCGAAAUCCAUGGUUCGUGAGAUGCAGACGGUGAAUUGGAACCUCGAUGAUCAAAUAGAUCUGAAAAUAUAGGGUUUGUCCAUGGCUGGUUGUAACACUGCAAUAUACAGAGCGUCGUCCAUGGUCUCUAAAGUAAAGAAAGACAAGGAAGAAAAUAGUGAGAGAAGACAGAGUAACGAUAGAAAGGGGGUAACCAAGGACAGAGAAAAGAUCUGAAAAGUGGGCCCAGAUUCACCAUGUGUCAAUCUUUGGAUGGUUCAAUGCAAAUCCUACUGUGGUGUGUUUUUUUUUUUUUUUUUUGUCAAUCCUACUCUAUUCCUACUCUACACUCACUCUCAGACUUUUGCCCUACCUCUUGCAGGGCGUGAGAGUUGAAACCCACUCCUGAAACCUACGCGUCCUCACCCCAUCUCUCCUUGAGAAGGUGGGGAUUUGAACCCCUCACCUCCCCCUUCCAUGUUGAAAGGGUAGCCACUGGGGCGAAUCCCAGUGGUUUACUGUGGUGUGUUUAAGGGCAUACAAUAUGAUGGUUUUGAUGCCAGUACUCUCCAGGCCAUGGAGAUUAUGAAGGCAAGAAGCUCAAAGCUCUCUGCAGAGGGGACAGGUUACUAAAAUUACUUCGAGGCCUUUUAUUGAAGACAAAAGCAACUAUCCUCUUGACAAGGAUGAAGAAUAUACAAGAAGCAAUCAAUUGAAGUUGUGGUUUUUCCACCAUUCUCUUACUCCUAUCGCGACCUUCUCAGAGGUGAACUAGGAAAUCUAGAUUACUAAAUAGGAACGAAUGUUGCUCUCAUGAGACAAUCGCUCGUGUUUAACAUUAGCUUCCCAAAAUCUACUAAUUGCAACUUGAUAAUCAAUCCAAUAUGCAUUUAAACUCAGUUCUUAGAGCCGCUACUAAUUGUUUAAUGAAGUUCUAUAUGAACUCUAUGCAAUAGGGGUGUCACAUGUAAUGCGGCUAUUGAUUACUCAACAUGAUAUAAUUUUUCUAAAGCAUUAACUUUAAAUCACGACUCACUAAAUGAUGUGCAAUGUAUGACAUGCAUGUUAUGAAUUCUGUAUGCAAUCCUUGUGUAGAUCUAAUGAUAUUUUAUUUAUUUAUUUGAUUCUUACUUAACGAAAGCUAUGAAUUAUUCUAAAUCUAUAUGAGCUCUAAAAUUAACGUGCAUUGUCCUAAACAUGAAAAUUCUAAAAUUAAGAUUGCGUUCUAAACCCUAAACAUGACAUGUUUUAUAUGCGGGAGGGUCAUUAAUCUCCGCAUGGCAUCAGAACAUACAUCUUAAAUCAACGUUAUUACUAGAAUUCAAGGACAUAUUAUCUCAAUGCACACCAGAUAUAUUUAGGUUAACCAUGCCCAUAUAUUAUAGAUCACGGUCCAUGCAAUGAGGCGAUACUAAGGACCCGACCUUUAGGCCCAAAGUUCCGGCACCCUAAUAUGCCUCGACUAAUGCAAGAUAAGCGUAAGAGGUACUUAAAACAACCGAAGGCUUAACUUUUGAAUAACAUGCGUCGAGAACUAUAUAUCAAAAUUGCACCCACCGCAGCUUACCUCGAAUUAGGAUUUGCCAAAGUUAAUCGCCAAGAUUGGAGGCAACGUAAGAGAUUCCAGCGAGGACAAGAGUCGGCCAAGGAGGGGGCGGGAUGCUCGACGCUGGGGAUUGGCGUGGAGGAAAUCAACAAGCGGGACAGUAACGAGCAGCAACUAUGGUGGCUCGCCAGGACGGUAUGGGUGUCGAGGGAACUGGGUGCUUGUCUAAUGCAGCACUCGUCGAGCUUACCACUGCUUGAGGGGCAACUUAGGUCGCUCUAAAAUACCGGGCGUGGCUGGGAGGCCCGUUGGGGCUGUGGUUAGUGGUCGCCGUGAGCGCUGACAGCAUAGGCACGACUGUAGUCAUGUCUUUCGAUGGAGGCGGCUCGAGGCUCGCCGGGAUUGGCCUGGUGCCGCAAAUGUCGUCAACGAUCGCUCGCUGGGACUGGGCUGCUUCGCUGGGGACCAGAGGCGCCAAGGCUUGCUCAAGAACCCGCUGGACCUCCUGGACGUUCGAUGUGAACUUUCCGUCUUGGUUUUUGUCCUUCAAUAUCCCCCUUCUAUGGCUGCAUCAACUGAGACUAUGUCCUUGCAAGUUGGAAACAAAAAUUAUUUCUUUCCCUUUUCUGGUGUUUGACCGAAGAAUGAUUGCCACCAAUCUUUCUUGAAACUUGAAUUGACCGUAAACUUUUAGUUUCCGAUCAUCUCUAUAUCUCACCAGCCCAUUCACGAUUCUUUCCUCUAUAUUCUCUCCGUUCAAAUAUAUUUUUUUGAACCAUAUUUGUUUCAUUAUCGACUGCAAUCAAAUCUUCAGCCCUUAUCCGGACUCAUUGCUUGUCCUAUUUUGUCCAUCGCUUGAGUUUAAUGAUCCUCAGUCAAUCAUUAUCCUGUGCCCAUCUCAAUUCCCACACUUAACAUUAUCACCACCGAAUCAUUUGUAAAAUAGUAUGCUCUUUAUGACAAAAUGUAAACAAUGUGAAUGCACAAUAUUAAUUCGAUCCCUAAUUUUUUAUGCAGUGUAUGAUUUAGUGAGUAUAAAUUCAGGUGUCAACAAUCCCUCAAUUAACUUCCACAACACCUAAUAUUCCUAAGAGCAUCUAAAGGAAAUGUUCAUUUCUUUAAUAUCUAGACAAAAUGCAUUUAUUGUAUGCUCGUGCAUUCAUAUCAACCCUCGUCAAAUUACUUGACUUUGAUGCCUUCCUAUGGUUCUUUCGACGUGCAAAGUGCCAAAGUGGAAGAAACUGCAUAGGCUGAUCCAUUCGAAAUGACAUUAACCAUGAACACAAAAUCAUCAAUAGGUACCUGGCUACUAGAAGAAGCUGAUUUAGUUGGUAUUGGAUAGAAAUAACAGAUCUAAGGUUUGGACUAAACUUUUGGAAUUAAUAAAACUCACUCCUAAUUAAUACAUUAUCGGACAAGUGAUAAACUAUCGGCAAGAAAUAAACAUGGUAUCCUCUUAGGCUAUUUAGUAGUUAAGAUAAAAUUCAAAAUAUGAUAAAAUUUAUCAUAUCCCACGUUUGAUGUCUGCUCAAGACAGACAUCCAUAGUAGGAAAUUUAUUUUCCGCGAAUGACAAUUUUCUUAAAUUAACAAAAUUAAAAUUAUAUUUUAAUAUAAAUAAUAUUUGAAUCCUAAUAUAAGAAAUUCAAAAUAACAAAAUUGUUAACAAAUUUUAAUAUACCUUGACCUCACUGUCGACCUCGCCGGCAGUUGCCUCUGGCUGGUCGCCGAGGUCCAGUGACCGGCUAGACGAAGAAGAGGAGAAGAAAAAAAGAAAAAGAAAAAAUAUAAAAAAUAUAAAAAAUAUAAAAAAUAUUAUUAGAAAUUGUCCACGUCAGUGCUGAUCAAAUCACAUCAGCCGAGCGGCGUCCGGUUAGUAAAAUCCGACCAAAAUUGGCUGGAAAUGACUGAAUUGGCACAACGUAAAAAUGUUUAGAACUAAAUUGGCACAAAAGCAAAAGGUUUAUGACUUUUUUUAGCACUUUUCCCCAUAUUUUAGUAUAUUAGGUAUCUUAGUAUAGUUUACUAUCUAAUAAAAUUUUAUCAUAGAAUGAUUGAAGGGGCAAAAAGAAUUUAAAAAGAAAUUAAUUUAAAAAAGUGGAAAAUAAAACAAAAAAUUAAAUAGAAAUAAAGUAGAUAACAGCAUCAUGGGAGAUUUUUAUCAUCUUUAUUUGUAAAAAAUUUUGUUCAUUUAUAUUAAUAUUUCGUUUAUAUAAAACAAUAUACACAAAAUGAUGUAAAUAAAUCUAACUUUUUUACUGCAAUCACGAAAUAAUGAAUAUGAUAUAACAAAAUUCGUAAAUUUAAAAUUUUAUUCUAUUUAGCCCUAUUUUGGUCAUAAAUUUAUAUGACCAAACGCAACCUUAAUUGUUUUCUAUUCUUUAAGAUAUAUAAUAUCCUCCUCGCCAUAAAAAGCAUACAUCUCUGAUUUACUUCCAUAGGUGUUGGAUCCUAAACAUUCAACAACCCCCCCCCCCUCUCUCUCUCUCUCUCUCUCUCCACCAAACCAUACCUCUCUUUCUUGUAAUUAUACGACGAAGGCCUUUGUCUUCAUCCAUCCAAGGCAUUUUGCUUCUUCAUUAUGGAACUCCACAUUCCAACACAAAUCGCGAUCGUUUCCAUUCCCAUCAUCCUUUUCACGUGCAUUUCUUCUUCUUCUUCUUCUUUGUCGUCGUCGUUGUCACCAUCAAACUUGCACCCUUUGGUGGUCGACUCCGUGCUUGCGCAUCUCAACUGCACCGCCAUUUCUGAGUUCCGGUUGCUGAAUAGAAGGCGAAUUCUCGAGUGUAGCGAUGGGAACCCUUAUCUCAAAAUUAAUGUCAGUGGCAACGCCACCAUGGGAGAUGAAGAGUACCUUACAGUUAAUGUAACCGGGGUCCUGGUUCCAGCGGACAACGACUGGAUUGCCAUGAUUUCUCCAUCGGACGCUGAGUAAGUCAUCCUCAUGUCUAAUUCGUUCGUCCUUGAAACGUAUUGGUACACAUGAGCAGGUUACUCAUUCAAGUUCCUUCAUCUUCUUGUGAUUUCUUUUGGGCUGCGGCGUCUCGUAUUGUCCACUGAACAAGAUUAUGUAUGUACAGACUGGUGAUCUCAUCGAUCGUCCUCUUCUAUGCCAUUAUCCUGUCAAGGUGAUUUUAUCUACCAUUGAAUCGUGCCUUGUUGAUGGCUUAUCUAUCUUCUUCUUGAUGAGUAAUAGAAACGUAAAAUAGUGAGGGGCUUUAGAGAAAAUAGUGGAACCCACAUGGGCCGAACUGAAAGGCACUUGAAAAAGAAAUCACAUGGCGUGUUGCCGAACACCUUUUGCCAAGACCUGGUUAAGUCCUCAUAUGAUCGACCAACAAAGUGACGCCAUGGAGUACAUAGUGUUCACGUAACGACGUCAUAUUUCAUUUGGUUAGGCACAUAUCGAGUUACAAAAAAAAAAAAAAAAACCAAUAUACUUGAUAGAUUAUAUGAUUAUGUUGUGGUGGUAGAUGAAAUCGAUUAAAAUGCGAAAAGUAUGUGAAAUUGAUAUUAUUUUUCAAAAUAUUCAACAAACAUUUCGUUUUCUCUAAGUGCCACCAACUUAAUUUAAUGAAUACACAUACAUACAUCAUUCAUGUAUGUAUGUAUGUAUGUAUGUAUGUUGAAAUACUUUAGCAAAGCGGGAAAGCAACAGAACACAAACCUUCGUCGACAGUCAGACACAGCCCAUAUUGCUGCUCCCCUAGAGGCGCCGGGGUCAACACAACCUCAAACAUUAAAGAUUGUCGCUGCUUUUAAGGUUUAAAAUACUCCUCGCCAAGUCUUCAUUCUCUCGGAAGACGAGGAGAAAAUAGGAGUCAGUUUUAUUUUUAAUCUAUUUUUAUUUUUGUUAAAGCGUCUCUUUUUGGGUUCAAAAGAGAAUCAAAAGAGUCCUUCAUUUCUUUACCAAAAAAAAAAAAAUGAGUCCUUCAUUCUAUAAUCUGCUAAAGAUUCAAUCAAUAAGGUCAGAUUUGGCUCUGGUUCACAUUUUUUGGCGAGGCUCUUUAUUGAAUUCUUUUAUGAUUGUAUUUUUGAUUCAACAAAUAAGUAAUUGACUUAUUGAACCGUCCUUUAAAAAAUUACGUAACUUUUUUUCCAGAAUUUAUGUAUUUUUCCGUUGACCAUGAAAAUACUGAGCUUUGUUGAAUGCAGGAAAAUAACGAAGAUACUUCUCGGAGUUGGAUUUUUAUUAGUCAAAUGGAGACAUUCCAUAUGUAACUCUAAUUUUAGUAGUGCUAGAUAUUAAGAAAGGUUUACAAUUUUCUUUUUUUGUAUUUUUGAAACAUAUAAAAUGCUGCGUGUAACUCUGUUAUUUGGAAGGAAAAAAAAAACUCUGUUAUUUGGAAUAUUUAAGCAACUCCUUUUUAUAAAAAUGCUUUAAAAUUUCAUUUAUCACAACCCGUGGUAUUAUACCUGUAUUUUUUCUUUUCUUUUUGGCAAUGUGCCAAAUUCCGUAAAUUUUCUAGCAUACCUACCAUUACUUGUCUAAUUAGUUUGAGACUAGGAGAACCUUUUCCACUUCAACCUUUUGGUGUACGCUUAUGUGCAUCAUUUUCCGGCACAAUACUUGAGCAGGGAUCCGGACUAUCUGAGCUGCAAGAAGAAGGAGUGCAAGGAAUACAAAGACGGUCAAUGCGUGUUGACCACAUGUGGCAGCACCUUGACGUUUCACGUUUUGAACAUCAGAACCGACAUCGAGUUUGUGCUGUUCGCCGGAGGAUUCACCAUACCAUGCGUGUUGAAGAGAUCGAACUCUUUGACCUUUGCUAACCCGAACCAACCGCUCUAUGGCCAUCUCUCCAGCAUUGACUCGACCGGGACCUCGGUAAGCACUCAAUUAGCUACCAACUGGUGUGCAGAGCUCGCAUGGGUCGUGUUGCCAACAUUUGGCUUUAUGGAUGUAAUGAAAAAUGUCAAUUAUAUCAUUAGCCAAUGAAGUCAGUGGUACCAUGCCUGCACAACACAUUGCGCCGAGUGUGGAAUAACUCUUUGCAUAAAACACUUGAAAGCAAUGCAGAUUGCAAAUGCUAAUUGUACAUGCUUUAAUCUGCAGAUGAGGAUUACAUGGGUUAGCGGAGGCAAGGAACCCCAAAAGGUACAAUAUGGAGAUGGGAAAUCACAAACUUCCGAAGUUAGUUCAUUCUCACGAGAUGAUAUGUGCAGUGAGUUAACCUCAAACCCUUCCUUGAAAAUUCUGUAAAUGCACUAGGACUUACUUUGUCGCACGCAAAACAAUUUAAAUGCCCCAUAAAGACUCAUCCUUGACUGAAAUUAGUUUUGUUGGUCUGUUUUUCGACAGGUAAAGUGGUGCCCAGUCCUGCCAAAGAUUUUGGUUGGCAUGACCCUGGUUACAUUCAUUCAGCCGUGAUGACGGGACUGCAACCUUCUAACUCUUAUUCUUACAAAUACGGAAGGUAGAAUCUUUGACUGAAGCAUGUUGUUUAUGAGACCAAUCGGUUUCAGAUUGGCUUGAGGUAUUCUUGCUGAGCAUAGUGCAAUAUCUCUGGCAUGUCUACUUGAUGCAGGGUCAUCGAAUCUGCAGUGAAUGUGAAUGAAUUGAUGUGCACUUGUUCCUUACAAUCAUUUUCUAUGAAUUCACAGCAUUAGGUAGAUGAUGGAGCACCGGCAAAUACUUCCAUAUGCCUUAGUCCAGAAAGAUGUAUUGUAGCUGCAUGUCUGAUUGAGAGAGGAUUGGGUAUACGGCUUUCAAUUAAAAGGAGAAUCUUGUUAUCAUGACAUUGGACUUAUAUAUUGCAUGACACUGCAGUUGUGGCAACUGGAAGUAGAUGGAAUAAUCCAUCUUUUUUGGGCAUCACUUAGUUGAUUGGAAAUCGAAUUGAUCAAUAAAUUUAUACCAUUUGCUGGCACAUUCGAGUUGUUUUGAUCAUGCUUUUACGAUAUCCAGUGAUUCAGUUGGUUGGAGCAACAAAGUUCAGUUCAGGACACCGCCUGCAGGAGGAUCAAAUGAACUCAAAUUUCUUGCAUAUGGAGAUAUGGGAAAAGCCCCUCUGGAUGAUACAGUCGAGCACUACAUUCAGGUAAACAUGCAUUCCGUAGAAUGAAAAGUCGCAUUUCUAAAGGCAACAUUGAAAUGAUGCUAUCCAAGCUGGGUAUACUCUAAGAGGAAGGUGUAUCCUUCAAAUUUUUGAGAAAUGCUAAUGGAAGGGACAAAACAUGGCACGAUUUGAGUGGAGUAUCCUCUUGAAAACCUGCUAUUCAAGAAAUAUUAUUAGCACGACACAUUCAUCUGAAUUAACUGAAGUGGCGCAGACUAAGCUGCUUGUGAGAAUUCAAACUCCUGAUCAUGAAGGUCUCCUAACAUGCGACUUUGUAUGUUUCUAUAGCCAGGAUCAGUCUCGGUGGCUAAGGCAGUGUUGGAUGAUGUAGACUCCGGCAAUGUCGAUGCCAUCUUCCAUAUUGGAGACAUAAGCUACGCCACUGGCUUCUUAGUGGAGUGGGAUUUCUUCCUCCACCACAUCAGCCCUUUCGCUUCCCGAGUUUCCUAUAUGACUGCAAUUGGGAACCACGAAAGGUAACUAUCUCGGGUCAAUAUGAGUCUCUUCCUGUGCAUAAUAGAAGGCUCAGUAAACAGCUAAACGAACAUUACUCAGCAGCAUGAAUUGAAGAUUUUCUAAUUUUCUUUUACAUGAAGAGAUUAUGUGGACUCGGGUGCCAGAUAUAUAACUCCAGACUCCGGUGGGGAAUGUGGCAUUCCUUACGAGACGUACUUCCCAAUGCCAACCCCAGCAAAGGACAAGCCAUGGUAUUCCAUUGAACAAGCCAGUGUUCACUUUACUGUGAUUUCAACUGAACAUGACUGGUCCGAGAAUUCAGAGCAGGUACGUUCGAUCGAGCUGAACCCUUUUGGGAUCAUAUCUGCAUCUCGAUAAGCUGUCCAUUUAUGUCAUGGGAAUGUCAUGUUGUCAGUAUCAAUGGAUGAAAGGGGACAUGGCUUCAGUCGACCGAUCUAAAAAUCCAUGGUUAGUUUUCAUGGGGUAAGUACAUUUGCUUCUAAGUGAUCGUGAGUAUUACUACUUGAAUGUGCAGACUCUCAGACUAAAAACUCUCAAGACAACAGAUAUCAAGUGUAACAGUUGCUUCUUGCAGGCACAGGCCCAUGUACACUUCUGGUCACGGAUUAGGUGCUGAUCCAAUUUUUCUUGAUGCUGUAGAGCCAUUGCUGUUGGACAACAAGGCAACCUUCCAUUUCUUAAUUUGGUUUUCAUGUUAAACAAUUCUUUGACCUGUGAAAGUGCAAUCAUCAACCAUUUGGUAUCACAGGCUGAUCUAGUUCUCUUCGGCCGCGGUCAUAACUAUGAAAGAACCUGCUCGGUUUUCCAAAAUGAGUGUAGAGCUAUGCCAAAGAAAGAUCAGAGCGGGGUUGAUAUUUAUGAUCAGAGCAAUUAUAGCGCACCCGUGCAAGUGGUUAUUGGUAUGGCCGGGUUCAGGCUGGGUGGAUUCACAGAUAAGGUUAGAGUCUGUCCUCCCUCACACCAGUUGUAGAUAGGAAAAUAAAAUUGGCCUUUUGUCUAUAUCUGGACAAUUUUUUGGCAUCUUCCGGAAAUCUACUCUUUUAUCGCGUUUCCAUUUCUUGCAUCUACAUUGGUUGAAUGCUGCUUAGCUAAACAAUGCCAUCGUGACAAGAGCUUUCUAAUUUGGGGGCCAUGAAAUAUCAAAAUUCCAGAGUUUCUUUCACUUGCUCUUAAGAAAUAACUUUCUUUGCUCGUUCUGCUGCUCAUAUCAUUCAGCUCGAAUCUAUUCGAUUACACAGGGAUUAUCCCUUUUGUUGCUCCCAUGAAUAAGACCUGUACAAGUGAAGCCCCAUUGAUUUUUCUUUUGCAGCCGAGUGACUGGAGUUUGAUAAGGAUUUCUAAAUUCGGCUAUUUAAGAGGACAUGCGACUCCAAAAGAGUUACAACUAGAGGUCAGCAGUAACCCGCUUUUGAAUGUUGCAUACUGCAUAGCACUCUUGAGUUCUCGGUCGCCCUUCCCUUGAUCAUCGUUCCUUUUCGCUUUGUCACUGCUGAUUCUAUCUUUUAUGAUGGAUGAGUCCAUUGAUUGAUAACCUGUAUUGGUCUGUUGUGGUGCUGUGCAAAUCAGAAACCACGUAUACAGUUUUCGAUUUCCUGCACUGCAAGUAGAGUUUGGAACAUUGAGCGGCUACAUGUUACUGCAUUCAUGGUGAUCAUGUGUACGUGCUCGUUUAACUUCGAUGUACGUGUUGCCUGCAGUAUGUGAAUGCCGACACAAGGAAGGUGGAAGACAUCUUCCGCAUCACCCGAUAACCCGACUUUUCAAGUGAGCAGGAAGGUGCUGCUGAGGCGACAAUGGUGGUACACUUCUACAUUGUACUAUACAGAGACAAAACAUACAGAUAAAUUGUGCUUGUACACAAGUAAUAAAUCUUGAUUGUCUGCGCGGCCUAAUCGAGUGCUCUUGAGCUGUGAUGAAGGAAUCCAAAUUCAUGAUUUCGGUACUCAUGCGAGCAACCUAACGACAUGUGUCCAAUGGAGAAGUGAUCUCUCCUUCCGAGUGAGUUCAGAAUCAUGACCUCUUAAUAGUUACUAUAAUCUUUCGAAAAGAUUGUUAAAUAAUUGAGCAAAAAUAAGUGAUAUAGACUCAUGAAUUUUCAGAAUUUUCCGUCAUGUAUGUAAAGCAAUGUAAUACAAUUCGGAAAUUGGUUAGUAAUCUUAAAAACUUUUGAACUAUUCAAGUCAUUAUCACAUAGAGUAAUGGCAGUCGACUGACCUUGUUUACGAAUAUGAUGAUCAGCAAAGCCUAAUCUUCUAAAUUAAUGUCGUUGACCUAAUUGACCAAAAAUGUCUACUCCCCUCUCAUCCGAAAUGCAGCCAUCCGAUCCAUACCAACCAUGCUCAACCGUCGAUUUGAAAAUCAUAUAUCAGGAUUAUCUCUAGGAGGCCGUAGUGAAGUCUAUUUUGAUACGCAUUACUGUCAAUAUCGAACUCGAUCAGACCAAGCCUUUGCUAGUCAGGACCUCUUUCCGUUUCACGAUUUUGGUACUCAUUUGAGCAACCUAACGACAUGUGUCCAAUGGAGAAGUGAUCUCUCAUUUUGAGUGAGUUCAGAAUCACGAACUCUUAAUAGUUAGCAUAAUCUUUUGAAAAGAUUGCUAAGUAAUUGUGCAAAAGUAUGUGAUAUAGACUCAUGAAUUUUGAGAAUUUUCCAUCAUGAAUGUGAUGCAAUGUAAUAGAAUUCGGAAAUUGCUUAGUAAUCUUAAAAAAUUUUGAUUUAUUCAAGUCGCUAUCACAUGAAAAGUAAUGGCAGUCGACCAACCUUGGUCAUGAAUAUGAUGAUCAGCAGAGCCUAAUCUUCUAAAUUAAUGUCGUUGACCUAAUUGACCAAAAAUGCCUGCCUCUCUCUCAUCCGAAAUGCAGCCGUCCGAUCCAUACCUACCACGCUCAACCGUUGAUUUGAAAAUCCUGUAUCAGGACAUGACUAGAUUUGGAAUGAAAGGUUAUCAUCGUUAGAAGGAGACCGUUGUGAAAUAAGUUUUGAUGCGCAUUACUGUUGAUAUCGAGCUAGAUUGAAUGAAGCCUUCGUUAGUUAGGACCUCUUUCCGUUUCUUCGCAAAUUAUGAUAUGCCAGUGGUAGCAGGAUAAUUUCUUGGGGUCGUAUCGCCAAUAUAACUUUUUGUCCAAAUCUAUCUGCACGAUUCUUUGGCAAUAUCUGAAAAUCCAUCCUUGUAUUCAUCAGCGCUUAAUCCCGAUUCCAUUUCCUUCAUUUACAUUUGUUGAAUGUUGCUUAGCCAAACAAUGCCAUCUUAGCAACACCUUUCUGAAUUAUGGGCCUUGAAAUAUCCAGAUUCCAGAGAUUUUUAGCUUGCUAUUAAGAAAUUAAAUGCCGAUUCUGCUGCUCAUAUCAUUCAGCUCGAAUCUAUAUGGUUACAUGAGGAUUAUCAAUUUUGCUGCUCCCAUGAAUAAGAUCUGUACAUGUGAAGCCCCGUUGAUUUUUUCGUAGCCAAGUGACUGGAAUUUGAUAAGGAUUUCCAAAUUCGGCUAUUUCAGAGGGCGUGCAACUCCAAAAGAGUUACAACUAGAGGUCAGCACUCUCUAAUUUUUCCUCGCCCUUCCCAGAAUCAUGUUCCUUUUGGCUUUAUGUCUGCUUACUCGAUUUCAUAUUCCCUUUAUUAAGAAAUUGUUCUGGUCUCUUGUGAUGCUUUGAAAUUAGAAACUAUGUAGAGUUUCUGAUGUCCUGCGUUGCAAGUAGAGUUUGGUACACGUGAACGAGUUACUCAUUCAAGUUCCUUUUUCUCCUUGUGUUUUCUUUAGGGUUGCAGCGUCUCGCAUUGUCCACUGAAUAAGGCCACGUAUGUAAACUGGUGAUCUCAGUGAUCUUCCUCUUCUACGUCGUUAUCCUAUCAAGGUAAUUUUCUCUAUCAGUGAAUUGUGCCUUGUUGAUGAUUAUCUACCUUCUUCUUGAUGAGUCAUAGAUAUGUAAAAUAGGGAGGGGCUCUAGAGAAAAACAUGGAAUCAACGAGGGCUGAAUAGAAAAGCAAUUGAAAAAGAAAUCACAUGGCGCAUUGCCUAACUCCUUUUGCCGAGAGUUGGUUCAAUCCUCAUGAUCGACCCACAAAAGUCAUGGCAUAGAGUCCCUAGCGUUCACGCAACAAUGUCGAGUUUCAUUUGGUUUGAGAUGAUUGUGUUGUUGUGAUAGAAGAAUUUGAUUAAAAUGCUAAAAAUAUGUGAAAUUCAUGUUACUUCUCGAAAUAUUCUAUAGACGUUCGUUAUAUAUAUAGCUACAAUCAUAUAUGUCCAAUGCAACCUCAAGUAUUAAUGACUAUAGUUGCUUUUAAGGUUUGAAAUAUUCCUCGUUAAGUCUAUAUAUUAAUAAAAUCGACUUGGCUAUAUAUAUAGCUACAGUCAUAUGCCCAACGCAACCUCAAGCAUUAAUGAUUGUAGCUACUUUUAAGAUUUGAAAUAUUCCUCGUCAAGUCUAUAUAUUAAUAAAAUCAACUCAGCUAUUUAUAUAUAUAUAUAUAUAUAGUCACAUGCCCAAUGCUACCUCAAGCAUUAAUGAUUAUAGUUGCUUUUUAAAGUUUGAAAAAUUCCUUGUCAAGUCUAUAUAUUAAUAAAAUCAACUCAGCUAUAUAUAUAUAUAGUCACAUGCCCAAUGCUACCUCAAGCAUUAAUGAUUAUAGCUGCUUUUUAAAGUUUGAAAUAUUCCUCGUCAAAUCUAUAUAUUAAUAAAAUCAACUUAGCUACAGUCAUAUGGCUAACGCAACCUCAAGCAUUAAUAUUGUAGCUGCUUUUAAGGUUUGAAAUAUUCAUUGUCAAGUCUUCAUCCACUCGAAAGAAAGAAGAGGAGGAAAUAGGAGUCCGUUUUAUUUUUAAAUUUAUUUUUAUCUAGUCAAAGUGCCUCUUUUUGGGUUCAAAAGAUAAUCAAAGGAGUCUUUUGUUCUAUAUCUGCUAAAGGUUCAAUCAAUAAAGUCAGAUUUGGUUCUGGUUCAGAUAUUUUGCGAGGCUGUUUAUCGAAUUCUUUUAUCAAUUUUUAUUUUCAUUUAAUAAAUAAGUAAUUGACUUAUAGAAUUGUAAUUUAAUAGAAUUUAAGUAUGUACUUAUUCCGUUGACCAUGAAAAUAUUAAACUGAGUAGAAUACAGGAAAAUAAUGGAGUUACUUUUCGGAGAUGGAUAUUAUUAGUCAAAUAGAGACAUUCCAUAUGUAACUCCAUGAGUAAUGCUAGAUAAUAAGAAAGGUUUACAUUUUUUUUUAAAUAUUUUUGGUACGUAUAAAAUGCCGCAUGUAGUCCCGUUAUUUCGAAUAUUUAAGCAAGCCCUUUUUGUCGAAAAACUUUGAAAUUUCAUUUCUCGUGGCCGUCGGUUCAUACUACGUGUUUUCUUUUCUUUUUUUUUUCUUUUUUUUGGCAAUGUCCCAAAUUCUGUAAAUUUUCUAGUAUACAUGUCUAAUUAAUUUGAGACUAGAAGAAAUGUUUCCACUUCAACUUUUUGGUGCAUGCUUAUGUGCAUCAUUUUCAGGAAAAAUACGUGAACAAGGAUCCGGACUAUCUGAGCUGCAAGAAGGAGCGCAAGGAAUACAAGGACGGUCAAUGUGCGGUGACCACAUGCGGCGGCACUUUGACGUUCACGUUGUAAACAUCAGAACCGACAUUGAGUUUGUGCUGUUCGCGGGGGAGUUCGCCACACCAUCCAUAUCGAAGAGAUCGAACUCUUUGACAAUUGCUGACCCGAACCAACCGCUCUAUGGCCAUCUCUCCAGCAUUGACUCGACCGGGACCUCAGUAAGCCCUCAAUUGGCUACCAACCGGUGUGUCGAGCUCGCGUGGGUCGUGUUGCCAACAUUUGGCUCUAUGGAUGUCAUGAAAAAUGUCAAUUAUGUCAUUAGCAAUGAAGUCAGUGGUACCAUGCCUGCAUGACCCGCUGCGCCUGAGCGUGGGAUAACUGUUUGCAUAAAACACUCGAAAUCAAUGCAGACUGCAAAUGGUAAUCAUACACGCUUUAUUCUGCAAAUGAAAAUUACAUGGGCUAGCGGAGGCAAGGAACCCCAGGAGGGGCAAUAUGGAGAUGUAAUGGACUUGUUCCUUACGAUAAUUGUCCAGGAAUUCACAACAUUAGGUAGAUGACAGAGCACUGACAAAUACUUCUAUAUGCCUUAGUUCUUAAUGUAGCGAGUCGGGGAAGAAAUUUUUAUUCCCAUCAGGUGAAGACAAUUAUUGUCUUAAUUGAUCUUCCUACAGUUCUUCCUGACUUCGCCAUCUGAUCCGGUGAGGGGCAGGAUGUCCCCCAUCUUGAUCAUGGCCGCUGCGAAGUCAGAGCUGAAGGUGCUCGGGCUGCUGGCAUAUGUCCUCACCAGUGAGUCCGUGGAGCCGCCACUGAAGAGCUGCUGGUCGGAGUGAAGCAGUCCUUUGAAUUGGAGAAGGUUGGUGUAGUAAGUGUUGUCAAAUGCAACGGAAGACUGCACAUCGAGUGGGGCUAGAUUGUUGUCCCCCGGGCCAGCUGAGCUUGGGCAGUUCUUCCGCCUUAUCUCACCGAAGGAACGGUCCAGGUCGGUCUCAUUGUAGAUCCGGGCUCUGAAAUUUUCACAUUUCGCUUGCCCUAUCGAAUGUGAACCUGUCAAAACAGAUAUGAUAAGUUAGUAUCUCUUUUUUCUCUUUUUCUUUUUUUCUCCAUUUACAAUAAAAGAAUAAAAGAAAAUGCUUUUUGCAUUAUUACUCCAGCGACCGUCCGGGAUUGUGUUUAUGAGUGUACGUACCAGACAAAGCCACCAAGUCUGUCGUGGAGAGGCCAGCACUUUCAAAGCUAGAUAUUAGGUCGGUAAGGUUUGAGGCCGGAGAGGGAAGGCUACUGUUAGCAGCUGCUUGGCUCGCGCUUCUUGCAUCUCUCCUCCCGAGUUUCACGCUCCAGCUUGGCCCUCCAAGCUGCAAAUUUUACACAAUCUUAGUUAGAGCAAAUUCGUGAGUAGUACUUGUAUGGGGUAGUGAUUUUUUUAAAGGGAUUGGGAGGGCUUACCAAGACGACGGAGUCACGAGCGGUGAUGGCCAACAAGUCAGCGCAAGAAACAACACCGGGGCACACUUUCUCCACAGCAGACUUGACAUCGUCUAUGACCUCAAAUCCUCUGGCAGAGUUUCGGUUUGGAGCUGCGUUCUUUUCACCAGUGAACGUUGGUGUGUCGUCGAGAAGAACCGAUCCAUCGCAGCCCUGUGGCAAUAGACGAAAGACAAGAAAUUAAUUUCUAGGAUAUGUGUGAAGACAAUGAAAGAAAGAUAAAGUCAAUUUAAGGUAGCUUACAUUCACAAAGCAAUCAUGGAAGAACAGGCGGAGGAGGGAGGCUCCUAUUCCAGGUUCCUUGCUAACAGCGGAUUCCACCUGGGAUUUGACCCCGGUGAAGACGUCGGGACACGAUUUUGAAUAAAAAUCAGGGGAGAGCUGGGCAUCGGAGCACCCCAUUAGGAGAAGCAAGGUGCAAGACAAAGUGAAAAGGGCCACAAAACAUGAUGAUGGUGCCAUUGGCAAUGCCACAAUACAAGCCAGAGAAGUGUGAAGGAUUUUUGCGUGGAUGACGGUUGUGCACAUCGGGGGUUUAUAUAGUAGAGAGCUAGAGAGACCCACGAGAUUGUCCAUGGACAGGCAGGCAAAAUUGAGUUCCUCCUCAUCAAGAAGUAGAGGUUUUCCAUCUACGUCUCUUUCCGGGGAGGACAAAAACGGUGGUUGCUCUGUACAAGCGAACCCCAUUAAUGGAUGAUCGACUCCGGAUGGUCAUUGCUGGAUUAAGAAGCGCAAAACGGGAGUCAAAGAGUUUUGUCUACUAAUGAAGCGACAUGGCAAGAUUAGGAUCGGAUGUUUAGCCCAAUUAGACCCGUACACUAUUGAUGAACUUCUUCAAAUAGCCAAGGUAAUCUCGACAAGACAAUUUCAUUUGUUUUUACGACGAACGACAAAAUAUAAAAGAAGAGAGACAAAGGGAAUAUAAAGUUCGUGCGUAUCCGAAUCAGCACAAUCGCGAGUUAAUGACGGUGGCUGACUAAUCAAACUCUGUAACAUUAUCUUUGUCCGUAGGUUUUUCUUUGCUCUGUCGGUGUUUGUUCGUGCGGUUGUAUUACAUGGGUGUUAUGUGCACCCUUGACCUGCGAGAAGACUUCAUUGAGUUACUAUGGGCUAGUUUUUCAAUCACUGUCGAUGUCGAGCUAGAUCGGACGAAGCCCUCGAUAGUCAGGACCUCUCUUUCCGUUUCUUUGCAAAUUAUGAGGUCAAUCAUAAAAAUCUCUUUCUAUUGAAAUUGUUAUCCAAGGCAGGUUUAUUAGGUUUUUCUUUUUUCAUGUACAUGUUUGCCUUUGGUCUCUAUAUUUUGACUUCAUUAACCGAGAGAAUGAUCUUUGGCCACAGGAACUUGCGGGCACGGCACUAUGCAAAUUGGUUUUCGGUACCAAUAGAUCUUCCUGCGAGUAAAAUUUGGUGACAUGCUCAUGCGCCCUCGGGAUUCGACUUGAGCUCAAGGCACGCACUAUUCGAAGGCGUGUCCUGCCGGAUACCAUCGUGAUUCGAUGCGAUUGACUGGAUUUAUUCUGCUUGUUGAAUGGUCAUAAAAGAAAGUAAAGGAGAAUUGUUGCGUCUUAAGAAAUGUAAAGUAGGUUUUCAGGCUUCGAAAGCCCUGGGGAACCACCCUGUUCGCAUCCCCAUAGACCUUAGCAGAGGAACUCGAAGUGCUCGAUUUCACAGAUGCCAAAAGUAGCAAGACGUGCAUUUAGACAGCGUCAGUUUUCAAUAGAAAAACAACAUAUGACAUGUAUGAUUCAAUGACUCUUUUUACAUAGUGCGGAGGAUUACAUGGCCCAUAUGUAUUUAGACAAACGAAUGGAUGUUGCUGAGUUGGCUUGAAAUGAAUGACCACUGUACGUUAAUCUGUCGGCAGGUUUCAGCUUGCUCGACCCUGCCGCAGCUUGACUUGGUGUUAUUCUUAAGUCCGAACAGCGGCUUCCGACUCUGCUUCUCUCCUAAAAACAGCCUACGCUUUUGGGAGUGAAAUUAACUACAGGCUUAUUUUGUAUAUGGGACAAUUGCUACGGCCCUUGAGGAUAUGUCUAAUGGACGCCACUCCAUCGCAGUUAUUAAUUCAAAAUGAUCGAGUUUAUAUUCACAAUCACGUUGAGCAUUAAAAAAAGAAAAGAGAAAAAUCAAUUCUUUGAUCAUGUGUUUGCAAAAGAAAUCAGGGGAAAGCUGGGCAUCGGAGCACCCCAUUAGGAGAAGCAAGGUGCAAGACAAAGUGAAAAGGGCCACAAAACAUGAUGAUGGUGCCAUUGGCAAUGUCACAAUACAAGCCAGAGAAGUGUGAAGGAUUUUUGCGUGGAUGACGGUUGACCGCAUCGGGGUUUCAUAUAGUAGAGAGCUAGAGAGACCCACGAGAUUGUCCAUGGACAGGCAGGCAAAAUUGAGUUCCUCCUCAUCAAGAAGUAGAGGUUUUCCAUCUACGUCUCUUUCCGGGGAGGACAAAAACGGUGGUUGCUCUGUACAAGCGAACCCCAUUAAUGGAUGAUCGACUCCGGAUGGUCAUUACUGGAUUAAGAAGCGCAAAACGGGAGUCGAAGAGUUUUGUCUACUAAUUAAGCGACAUGGCAACAUUAGGAUCGGAUGUUUAGCCCAAUUAGACCCGUACACUGUUGAUGAACUUCUUCAAAUAGCCAAGGUAAUCUCGACAAGACAAUUUCAUUUGUUUUUACGACGAACGACAAAAUAUAGAAGAAGAGAGACAAAGGGAAUAAAGUUCGUGCGUAUCCGAAUCAGCACAAUCGUGAGUUGAUGACGGUGGCUGACUAAUCAAACUCUGUAACAUUAUCUUUGUCCGUAGAUUUUUCUUUGCUCUGUCGGUGUUUGUUCGUGCGGUUGUAUUACAUGGGUGUUAUGUGCACCCUUGACCUGCGAGAAGACUUCAUUGAGUUACUAUGGGCUAGUUUUUCAAUCACUGUCGAUGUCGAGCUAGAUCGGACGAAGCCCUCGAUAGUCAGGACCUCUCUUUCCGUUUCUUUGCAAAUUAUGAGGUCAAUCAUAAAAAUCUCUUUCUAUUGAAAUUGUUAUCCAAGGCAGGUUUAUUAGGUUUUUCUUUUUUCAUGUACAUGUUUGCCUUUGGUCUCUAUAUUUUGACUUCAUUAACCGAGAGAAUGAUCUUUGGCCACAGGAACUUGCGGGCACGGCACUAUGCAAAUUGGUUUUCGGUACCAAUAGAUCUUCCUGCGAGUAAAGUUUGGUGACAUGCUCAUGCGCCCUCGUGAUUCGACUUGAGCUCAAGGCACGCACUAUUCGAAGGCUGGUCCUGCCUAAUACCAUCGCGACUCGACGCGAUUGACUGGAUUUAUUCUGUUUGUUGAAUGGUCAUAAAAGAAAGUAAAGGAGAAUUUUUGCAUCUUAAGAAUUGUAAAGUAGGUUUUCAGGCUUCGAAAGCCCUGAGGAACCACCCUGUUCGCAUCCCCAUAGACCUUAGCAGAGGAACUCGAAGUGCUCGAUUUCACCGAUGCCAAAAGUAGCAAGACGUGCAUUUAGACAGCGUCAGUUUUCAAUAGAAAAACAACAUAUGACAUGUAUGAUUCAAUGACUCUUUUUACAUAGUGCGGAGGAUUACAUGGCCCAUAUGUAUUUAGACAAACGAAUGGAUGUUGCUGAGUUGGCUUGAAAUGAAUGACCACUGUACGUUAAUCUGUCGGCAGGUUUCAGCUUGCUUGACCCUGCCGCAGCUUGACUUGGUGUUAUUCUUAAGUCCGAACAGCGGCUUCCGACUCUGCUUCUCUCCUAAAAAAAGUCUACGCUUUUGGGAGUGAAAUUUACUACAGGCUUAUUUUGUAUAUUGGACAAUUGCUACGGCCCUUGAGGAUAUGUCUAAUGGACGCCACUCCAUCGCAGUUAUUAAGUCAAAAUGAUCCAGUUUAUAUUCACAAUCACGUUGAGCAUUAAAAAAGAAAAGAGAAAUAUCAAUUCUUUGAUCAUGUGUUUGCAAAAGAAUAUAUAUAUAUAUAUAUAUAUAGAUAUAUAUAUAUAUAGAUAUAUAUAUAUAUAUAUAUGUAUGUAUGUAUAUUGACUAUUAAAAAAUCAUUCAAUUUUUAAAUCAUGUGUUUGCACCCAGAUAGAGAGAGACUAGUGGGGAUAUUGAAUCAAUCAGUGCAAAAACCUAUUAUGCGGAUAGUGUAUAUAAUGUGUCAAAAAUUCGAUGUGUCUUUAUGGAGAGAGAGAGAGAGAGAUUUUUUUUUUUUUUUUAUUACUUCGAGAAUGUCUUCUAGUAUUUGGUACUUAGUGUUUAUUUGUUAACAUACAAGAGAAUAUUAUAUAAUAUUCUAUUAUUGGAAUUUUUACUCAACAUUGGUUGUCUAACCACGAUCGGUUACAGAUCAAGAGGGAGCGGUAUAGAUUGCUUCAACUUCAUUACAGAUAGAAAGGAGUGAUGCAUUCUUAAAUUUCUCUAUCUUGUUCUUUUACAUUCUUUGAGCUUGGUUUUACAUUCUUUGAGCUUGGUCCAUAGGAAGAUUAUGAUAUUGACUACAUGCACCUUUCUACGCAAGAGGUGAAUAUUUUUCACGGAAGACUAAUAGUGUUGCUUACACAAUCUUAUGAAGACUCUUCAACGACUUGUUGGGUUUGAGCCUAACCUUUCCUUUAUCCAGCCUUUAUAGGCAAGACUAAAUCCACCUUCCCAAAUUGAAGAAAGGUACACAACCUCCUGUGAGAACAAAGAUUCAUAAUAAUACUUUUUCUUUUUAUUGCCUAGCUCCGAGUGGUCGCAUUUGAAACUUCACGCUUCUUAACGUGCACCCCAAUUGUUUUACCGUUUAUCCAAGGAGUUAGUCGUUGGUUAACACGAUUUAAGAUUACUGUAGAAGCCAGACUGAGGCAAAUGCGUUGGUAUGUAGCAUGAGCUUAGAACUAAUAUAUAUGAAAGAGGAGUUCUUAUUUAUUAAACCUUAUCCUCUUGUCCAUUCCCUCUGGUUAAUUGAACUUGAGACAUUUCACAAAAAGAGCUCUUAUUUAUAAAUAUGUAGAAAUAAAUUAAACAUAUUCGAUAAUACUUUACAUAAUAAAUUUUAUUGUGAAAAUGGGUGCUGUGGUGUAUAUUAUAUCUUGUCAAAUACCUCCAAAGUUGUAGCUAUGAAGUUGCCUCACCCAUACCCAAUAUUAAAAUUUACCAAUUACUAAAGCCACAAGUUACAUAUCUUUUCAGUGCAUUUGAACUGCGGAUACAUAAAAUUGGCUCUAAAUUUAUCAAAUUGUAUCGAGUCAAUUUGUUUACUUAAAUAUGUCUAAAAGUGUCAUAGAUGGAUUUAAAAAAUACAAUGUACGUGACACAUUUAUUAUUCAUGCGGAGACAAGUUGAUCCAAUUAUAAUACAAACACAUUGAAUCUUAUAAUGAACACAUUUAAUUAGGUGGUUGUACUGAAAUUUAUCAAAUCUACAUAGGAAGAAUUGUGCUAAAUUUUUCAUAUGACGAGGAUAACCAUCCAAAGUUUUGUAGUCCUCCGUAGUAGUGUCCAAAAAUUAAAGUUUGAUCCAAUUUCCCAUGAUAGAAAGAAAAACUAGGUUAAUCCUCAUGAAGAAAUAGUUAAACCAUGGGAUAAUGACACAAAUAGUCUCUGAAUGUUUGCCAAAUGAGCAAUGUAGUCUUUGAACUUUUAGUUUUUUUUUUUAAUACGGUCCCUACACUUUAGCCUAACUUUAAAUAUGGUCCCUUAACUUUUAAUUUGUUCAAUGUAAUCCUAAACUUUUUGUACAUAUUUAAUGUAAUCCUUGAACUAUAUCAAAAUAUUCAAUGUACCAAAAGUUGAGAGAUCAUAUUAAACAUUGGGUUAAAGUUUAGGGAUCACAUUAAACAAAUUAAAAGUUUAGGGAGAACAUUGCACAUUCAACGUAAAUUUAGGGAUCAUUUGCGUCAAUUUAACAAUUUCCCUUAAAUCAUGGAUCAAAAUAAAUAAGAGGUGAACAAUGGCAAUGUUCUCAAAGGCAAAUUCAAGUCUGAAAUGGGUCAUUGCCCUCUAGAUUAUUCAAGACGCAAACAUAGAGAGAAAAAAUAAUCACCAUCUUUAUCGACUUCAUGUUUUGAACCACAAAAACCGCAGACUCUGCCUGUGGUCACUCAAACACAAUAGCUAUAGGGGUCCGAACCGAAUGCCGAGCAGAGACCCACGUGAUUGCCCCCUGAGCAUACGGCGACGGCGCUUUCGAGUCAACUUCCCUCGUAAAGUCAACCCGGUAACUCGCUGUCUGGUUCGCCUCUGUGAACACGAGUUCACGCGGGUACACGCCAAUUGAGACCGGACCCUUGAUCGGGUCGACGACUGACUGGUAACGCGACUUUGCGGGUCCGACGUUUUUCACCGUCCUUGUCACACUCACGUUCGUCACCGAAGGCUUGAAGCUCACGGUGAUCGAUGGAUAGUUGAGCUGGUAAUCAGGUAUGCUCCCUAUGCUCGAGCAGUUGACUUUUUUUUUAACUAUAACCUCGAUUUGGGACUCGUUGGAGAUGAGCCCACAAAGGUAAGGGAUGUAAUCUUGCGGUCCAUCGUCGUAAACGAGACCCGGGUCGACGGCCUUCGAUGGGUUGAUGUGUCCUGCGCCUGUGGCGAAAAUGUCCGCUGGAUGGAGUGUCUCGUCCACGAUGGGUCGGCCCUCCAUGUUGAAGGUGGUGGCAGUGGUCAUGAUGGCGGACUUGAUGGCUUCUGGCGACCAAUUGGGGUGCGUGCUCUUGAGCAGCGCCGCCACACCACUGAGGUGGGGGCAGGACAUGGAGGUCCCGGAGAUCACGUUGAAUAAGUUCGUAGAAUUGUCUAAAGGAAAUGGCCAACCAGCGAGAAUGUUCAGGCCCGGGCCGAUGAUGUCUGGUUUGAGGAUGCCUGGGCUUUGGCGGUUGGGGCCGCGGGAAGAGAAUGAUGCUACAGCCGGGGCGACCGAUCUCCUGAUGAUGUGCGUGCCUUUGAAUAGGAUCGUGGCCAUUGGUGUUGACGCUGUGUUAAAGUAUCUCUUGAUCUCUCUCCCCGCGACAUAGCUCACUUCCACCGCGGGUAGGACAUGCGCAUCAGCCAGUGUGGUGUAUCCGUCAGUGAGACCGUUCACGAGGAUCAUGGCCACACCACCUCUAUCCUUGACCUCUUGACCUGCUACGACUGGCUCAGUACUUCCUAAGUCGCACACAACCACUUUCCCUCGAAUGUCCGAGCGAAACCUUAGUGAUCCUUUAGCGCAGUCCUGGAUGCGAUCAUCUAUUUCUGGAUAAAUUAGGGGAAGUAGUGCCGGAUGGAAGUUGUGCGGUUGGUACAAGGUCUCCCCAUCGAACUCUAGGCCAUUCCCCAGCCGCGCUGUGGCCUCUAUGCUACGGUCGAUGCUGCUCGCACCCACAGUGAGAAUCCACGGAGCCUCGUUUGACAAUGAGGUGUUGUAUGGCCCUGAAUUCCCCGCGGAGCAGCUGACGAAGAUGCCCUUUUGGGUGGCGGCAAAUGCACCCUGCGCAAUCCAGUCUUUGAAGAACGGUUUGGAAUUUCCUCCUAAAGAGACGGAAAGCACAUCGACACCGUCCUCGAUGGCGGCGUCGAACCCAGCCAAUAUACUGCUUGCAGGGCAACCGUCAUCUACGCAAACCUUGUACAUUGCCAAAUGCGCAAGAGGCGCCAUGCCUACGGCCGUGCCUUUUGCAUUACCGAGCGCGCUGGCAUCCCUCACAAAAGCACCGGCAGCUGUGCUGGAAGUGUGCGUGCCAUGCCCAGUAUCAUCAUAUGGUGGAACGGCCUGCGUGGCGUUGAUCGGGUUGAUGAAAGACCUCGCACCGAUGAGCUUGUUGUUGCAGGACGUGCCGUUGAAGUCACACCUCCCCUUCCAUUUGGCUGGGGGUGGAGGCACCCCCUCGUCGUUGAAGGAAGGGUGCUCCGGGAAAACCCCUGAGUCCAGUAGUCCGAUGAUCACGCCCUUACCAAAGUUCGAGUCCUUCCAGAAGCCGACUCCUUGGUGCAAUCCCAGGAAGUCGGGGGUGCGAGUUGUGUGUAGAGAAAGCACCUCCUCCGGGUGUACCUGCAAAACACCGUCCUUCUCCUGAACGGCUUUAGCUUCCUCGGCGGUCAAUUUGGCUGCGAACCCGGAUAGCGCAUGCUGGUACGAGUGAACCAUUCUUUGCUCUUGCUUAGAGCUGGCUGCUGUGGUGGGUAAAAAGGACCGAUACAAAGAAUCGAGAUCCUCUACGGUAGCGAAAUGUUUGUCCGUCGGCUUUCGUACUUGGAUAAUGUAAGUUGACAAUGAGCUCCUUGUAUCAGCUACUGCCAUAGCAGCAUUAGCUGGGGAAAUGCUUAGAAUGUAAAUGAUACCGAGAAUUAAAAUUAUCAAGGUGGUCGGAGACAAUUUGCAUUUCUGAUCUUCCAUCUCGAAUUUGAAGAAGAAACAGUACCUUUUGUUUCCGAGUUCUGUGUCGAUAGUAUAUAGGAGAAGCAAAAUGAAGAAAUGCAUUGUUCUCAUGACCCUCCGGAAGCCAAUAUUGGUACUUUUUCUCUUUUGGAAGAAAACUAUCCUUAGAAAGAAAACUAUCCGUGGUGAUUUUUAUUUCUUAACAUGCAUAUGCAUGUCCAUGUUAGAAUUGCAUAAGAUCUGUUAUAAUCCUCAAGGACAGAGGGCACCUUCCAUAAAAAUUUAAGAUAGAGUAGACUAGUGUAUCGAAGGAAAUAUAAACAUGCAGCAAAUCCUAAAUAAAUUAUUUUCCUCAAAUGAGCUUCUGAGCAAUAAGAAACAAAGUAAAUAAGGAAAAGAGAAGAAAAGGAAAAAAAAAAAUUCUAAAAAAUAUUAAAAUACUAAUGCAAAUUACCCGUAUUAGUGUUGAUUGUGCCAUGUGAGAUGUCUAGCAUUCAUAUUAGCGAUUUUCGACUAAAAUUAAUCGGAUUGAGUAAAUUGACAAUACUUGUAAAGGUUUAUGACUUAGUUAGCAAAAUUGAAUAUUUAAGACUGAAUUGAUAAAAGUACAAUAAAUUUAGAACUUAUUGGACAAUUUUCCCUCCAACGAGUUGCUUGUCCAAAUUGGUCCAUUGCUCGAAUUUCUAUUGAUUCUCACUCGAUCAUUAUUUUGUACCUAUCUUAAUUUGCAUACUUGAUAUUAUCACCACCGAGUUUGAUGUAAAAUAGUAGGGAAACGUGUUAAAAAAGGUCAUAAGCCUUUUUGUGCAAAUUUAGUCAUAAACAUUUAUAUUUUGUGCAAAUUUAGUCAUUUUUGGAUAAUUUUGGCUAGAUUUUGCUGACUGGAUGCCGACCAGUUAAUAUGGCUUGAUCGGCGUUGACGUAGAUAAAUUUUAAUAAUAUUUUGAUAUUUUAGAUUUUUUUUUAUUAUUUUUUUUUCUUCUCCUCCUUUCUCCAGUCGCUCGCUGGACCUUAGGGAUUGACUUGAGGCGACAAUUGUUGAGGUUGACCUCGCCAGCCAUUGGCAAGCCUCAUUGACCACCUCGCCAAUGGCCUUGAGGGUGACCUCGAAGUGGCCAGCGAGCUUCACCCUGGUCGGUGCUGCCUAGGCUGCAAUCCGACAAGGGUGAGCCUUGCCACCCACCUUGCGGCCACUGGUGAGGUGGCCGGCAAGGUUGACCUCGACCUCGUCAACUAGAGGAAUGAGGAGAGAAGCAAAAAAAGAAAAAGAAUAUUUUUUUAAAAUAAUAAAAAAAUAUUAAAAAUACUAAAAUAUUAUUAAAAAUUGUCCACGUUAGCACCGAUCGAGUCACGUUAGCCGCUUGAUACCCAAUCAGCAAAAUCCGAUUGAAAUUGACCGAGAAGGACUAAAUCGGCACUAAGUAAAAAGAUUUAGGACUAAAUUGGCAUUAAAAAAAUUAUGACGAAAUUGGCAUAAAUGCAAAAGGUUUUUUGAACACUUCUCCCUAAAAUAGUAUGCUCUAGCGACGAAGUACAAAAAUGCGAAUGCACAAUAUUGAUAUUUGGUUUAGGGAUUGGGUCGAUUCCUAAUUUUUUAUGUAGUGAAUGAUUCGGCGAGUCAAAAUUUAAGUAUCAACAAUUUAUUAAUUAACUUCAACAACGCCAAAUAAUCCUAGGAGCAUCAAGAGGAUGAGUUCAUUUGUUUAUUAUCUAGCCAAAAUGCAUUUAUUGCAUGCUCUAUGCAUUCAUAUUAACGCUAUUCAAAUUACUUGACUUUGGUGCCGUCCAAUGGCUCUUUUCAACGUGCAAAAUGCCACAGCGAAAGAAGAUGCACAAGCUGGUCCAUUCAAAAUGACAUCAACCAUGAACACAAAAUCAUCAAUAGGUUGCUAGCUACUAGAAGCAGCUAAUCCAGUUGGCAUUGGAUAGAAUUAACAAAUCUAAGCUCCGGACCGAACUUUUGGAAGUAAGAAAACUCACUCCUAGUUAAUACAUUCCUGAAGAAGUGAUGAACUAUUGGCAACUCUACAUAUGUCAACGUCAAGAAACAUGGUACCCUCUUCAUUAUUUGUUAUUCUUUAAGGUAAAUAAUAUCCUCCUCUAUAAAAAGCGUAUAUACUUAAUAUACUUCCAUAGGUAUGAGAUCCUAAACAUUCAACGUACACUUCGACACUUCAAACGCAUCCCCUCCAUCUCUCUCUCUCUCUCUCUCUCUCUCUCUCUCUCUCUCUCUCUCUAUUGAAUCAUACCUCUCUUUCUUGUAAGAUACAAAGAAGGGACAAAUAUGCCACGACUGGGGUGGAGUAUCAUCUUGAGACCAGCUCUCCAUGAAACAUUAUUGGCACUCCAAAUUCAUCUGAAUAAACGGAAGUGGCACAUACUAAGCUGUCUGUAAGAAUUCAAACUCCUGAUUAUGAAGGUAUCCUAAAAUGUGACUAUAUGAUUUUAUAGCCUCGCUCCGUACCAGUGGCAAAGGCAGUGUCGGGUGAUGUGGACUCGGGCAAUUUGGACGCCAUCUUCCAUGUCGGAGACAUAAGCUACGCCCCCGGCUUCUUAGUGGAGUGGAAUUUCUUCCUCCACUCAUCAGCCCUGUUGCUCCCCGAGUUUCCCACAUGUCUGCAAUCAGAAGCCAUGAAAGGUAACUAUCUCGGGUUGAUAUGCGUCCCUUCCAGUGCAAUAAACAGCUAAACCAACAUAAUUAGCAGCAUGAGUCGAAGAUGAUUUCUAAUUUUCUUUCAUAUGAAGAGAUUACAGGGCCCCGGAUCCAUGUACUUAACUCUGGACUCCAGUGGGGAAUGCGGCGUUGCCUAUGAGACAUUGUAUGCCAACCCCAGUGAAGUACAAGCCAUGGUAUUCCAUAGAACAAGCCAGUGUUCAUUUUACCGUGAUUUCAACCAAACACGACUGGUCCGAGAAUUCAGAUCAGGUAAGGGCAAUCAAGUUGAACACUUCUGGUAUCACAUUUUCAUGUCAAUGAGCUGACAUUUUUAUGUCAUAAGAAUGUCAUGUUGUCAGUAUCAAUGGAUGAGAGGGAACAUGGCUUCAAUCGACUGAUCUAAAACUCCUUGGUUAGUUUUCACGGGGAAAGUACAUUUGCUUCUCGAUGAUUGCGAGUUUCACUAAUUGAUUUUGCGUACUCUCAAACUAAAAACUUCUCAAGACAACAGAGAUCAAGUGUAGCGGUUGGCGCCUGCAGGCACAGGCCCAGCCCAUGUACAUUUCUGGUUCCGAAGGAGGUGAUGACCAUAGGUUUCUUGAUGCUGUAGAGCCCUUGCUAUUGGACAACAAGGCAACCUUCUGCUUCUUAAUUCCAUUCGGAUGUCGAAUGAUUUGCUGAUCUGUACUCAUCGAGCAUUUGAUAUCAGAGGCUGACCUAGUUCUCUUCGGCCACGUUCCUAACUAUGAAAGAACGUGCUCAGUUUACCAAAAUCAGUGUAAAGCCGUGCCAAAGUAAGAUCAAAGCGGGGUCGAUAGUGCACCUGUGCAAGUGGUUAUUGGUAUGGCCGGGUUCGGUCUGGAUUACUUCCUAGAUGAGAUUAGAGUCUGUUCUCCUCACACCGUUGUAAAUAGUAAACCAAUAUAGCUUUUUGUCUAAACCUGCACAAUUCUUUGGCAAUUUCUGAAAAUCCGUCCUUGUAUUCAUCAGUGCUUAAUCUCAAUUCCAUUUCCUGCAUUUACAUUGGCUGAAUGUUGCUUAGCCAAACAAUGCCAUCUUAACGACACCUUUCAGAUUUACGGGCCCUGAAAUAUCCAGAUUCCAGAGAUUUUUAGCUUGCUGUUAAGAAAUUAAAUGCUGAUUCUGCUGCUCAUAUCAUUCAACUUGAUACGGUUACAUGGGGAUUAUCAUUUUGGUUGCUCCCAUGAAUAAGAUCUGUAGAAGUGAAGCCCCGUUGAUUUUUUUGCAGCCAAGUGACUGGAGUUUGAUAAGGAUUUCCAAAUUCGGCUAUUUCACAGGACAUGCAACUCCAGAAGAGUUACAAUUAGAGGUCAAAACUCUCGAAUUUUCCGUUGCCCUUCCCACAAUCAUCAUUCCUUUUAGCUUUAUGACUGCUUACUCGAUUACAUAUGACUUCAUUUGUUGAGAAAUUGUUCUAGUUUGUUGUGAUGCUUUGAAAUUAGAAACUAUGUACAGUUUCUGAUGUCCUGUGCUCUAAGUAGAGUUUGGAACAUUAAGCAGCUAGAUGUUACUGCAUUCAUGACGACCGUGCUUACGUGCUCAUUUGACUUCAAUCUACGCCUUGCUUGCAGUAUGUGAAUGCCGGCACGAGGAAGGUGGAAGACAUCUUCCGCAACACCCGAUAACCUGACUUUUCAAGUCAACAGGAAGGCACUGCUGGCGAUAACAAGCUGGUAUAGCUACAUAAUCAUACACUUCUACAUUCUACUUCACACAGACAAGAAAUACAAAUGACUUGUGUUGAUAUCCAAGUAAUAAAUCCUGAUUGUCCGCUGACCUAAUCAAAUGCUCUUCAUCUGUCAUGAUGGAAUACAAAUUCAUGAUUGCAGUACUCAUGUGAGCGACCUAACAAGAUGCAUUCAAUGCAAGAGUGAUCUCUCCUUCUGAAGCGAGUUCAAAACCACAACCUCUUGAUGGUUAACAUAAUCUUCCAAAAAUUGUUAUAUAUUUAUGUAAAAAUCAGUGAUUUCAAUUCACAAAUUUUUGUCAUGAAUGCGAUGCAAUGUAAUAAAAUUUAGGAAUUGCUUAAUCAUCCUAAAUUUUUGUGAGUUAUUUAAGUCGCUAUCAAUAAUGAGCUCGACUAACCUUGGGCAUGAAUAUGAUUGGCAAAGCAUAUUCUUCUAAAUUAGUGCCGUUGACCUAAUUGACCAAAAUAUCUCCCGUCUCUUAUCCGAAAAACAGCCAUCCGAUCCAUUCAUACCAUGCUCAAUUGUCAAUUUGAAAAUCGUCGAGUCACGACAUAUCACUCCAUACCUCUGGUUAAGGAUUUACUUAUCAUUUGACUUGUCUCAGCCUUUCACGUAGUUGCGGCUGCAACGACAACUCAAUCCUAGCUAGACAUUUUUCUUGUCGGCAAUGUUCAAAAUUCUUUCCAGAGGGAAUGAUUGAUCACAAUUUCCUUCGUGAAGUCGCGUUGAUGAAGUUUAUAGCAGCACGAGCGGCGUAUUGCCUUUGUUCGACAACUUCAAGCUUUGAGCCCGACCCACUUCGUCCAAGUCAUUCACUACGCUCUACGAUCAGUGAAGCACUUGGCGAAAUCCAUGGUUCAUGAGAUGCAGACGGCGAAUUGGAACCUCGAUGAUCGAAUAGAUCUGAAAAUACAGGGUUUGUCCAUGGCUGGUUGUAACACUGCAAUAUACAGAGCGUCGUCCAUGGCCUCUAAAGUAAAUAAAGACAAGGAAGAAAAUAGUGAGAGAAGACAGAGUAACGAGAGAAAGGGUGUAACCGAGGAUAGAGAAAAGAUCUGAAAAGUGGGCCCGGAUUCACCAUGUGUCAAUCUCUGGAUGGUUCAAUGCAAAUCCUACUGUGGUGUGU
rnacentral:lncRNA from 1 species